rnacentral:lncRNA from 1 species
UUCGAAGGUGCAGCUUGAUGUGCACCUACCGGAGGCUGCUGAGCUUGGUCUUGCUGGGCGACGGGAUGGUAUUCGAGCUCGGCAACGUAGCCUUACGGAGUGCAUGUACUGAUAAGGCUAGCAGGAAUUAGAUUUAGGCUAUAGUCGAGUUAUUACAUAUAGAUUUGUGGCAAGGGAUCUUUCUUGAUGCACUUGUAGAUCCGGGUGCUAGAGACGAAGUUGAUGACCUUGUCCCGGCAAGAAAUCAGCGGGAGGAUUUUGUUGGUAGCUGAGGACGAGGCAGCAGUUGACAUCUGCGGUGGGUGGCAGGGAGGACAAUCGAGGAUUAGGAAGGGAGUGAGUUUUUUUUUGGGGGCGGGGGNNNNNNNNNNAACGUUUUUUGACUCACAUCAUCGUAAUUUAUAUGUAGAUUUGAUCCUCUCAAACGGCUUACGACAACCUCGGAUGAAAUCGUCAUAGAUUUAUGACGAAUUCAUCAACGACAUCUUAAAGAACUCAUGUAUGAGCAUAUUUCUUGUAGUGCGUGACGCCUGACGCGCUCCUACGUCUCAUCACCGUUGUCUUCCUUUGUACACAUGUGUAUUGCGUUCAAGCUCAGCGAUUAGGAGCGAGCUCCGUGGGCCCCUUCUGCUACACAGCAGGUAUCCUCUCUCGUCUCUAUCUGAUUUGGACUAAUUUUUUGUCCGAGUAGAAAGAAAUUAUAUCUUUUUGUAAUUAUUAAUGCACGAAAUUGGCUUCGUAGCAAAUUUCAAUNNNNNNNNNNNNNNNNNNNNNNNNNNNNNNNNNNNNNNNNNNNNNNNNNNNNNNNNNNNNNNNNNNNNNNNNNNNNNNNNNNNNNNNNNNNNNNNNNNNNNNNNNNNNNNNNNNNNNNNNNNNNNNNNNNNNNNNNNNNNNNNNNNNNNNNNNNNNNNNNNNNNNNNNNNNNNNNNNNNNNNNNNNNNNNNNNNNNNNNNNNNNNNNNNNNGACCUGUUGAAUAUAAAUGUUUAUCAAUCCAACUCUUACCAUUUGCAAUUGGAUAUCAAGCACUGCAUGUUACAUCAAAUUGAGUAGCCUAGCAUUGAAAAAAUUAAGAUCUGACAUACUAAUUACUUGUGCACUACUACAUGGAGUUUCUGUUUAUGAAUGUGGAGUUUUAUCUUCUUUUCAUCUCUUCACACUAGAAGAAUUUCACCACCUUCCAGCGAGAAGUGGGUAGGUAAAAUAUUUUCAGAUUUCUUAACCUGUAGAAUUUCUAUUUAAGGGACUGAAAGUUAGCACGAUAUUAUUUCACCUUUGUACUUGUACUUGAAAUACCCUCUCUUGCAAAAGUUGAUGCUCCUAUUGGAUACCUUAAUGAUUUACUAUUUAUGAUACACGGGCCAUUAUAAAAUGCUUACAAAUUGCUUCAAGGGUUCUACAGAUUUUCUUGGAGGCUUCNNNNNNNNNNUGAUGCACUUAUUGGAUACCUUAAUAAUUUACUAUUUAUGAUACAGGGGCCAUUAUAACAUGCUUACAAAUUGCUUCAAGGGUUCUACAGAUUUUCUUGGAGGCUUCAAAUUGGUCAACAUAGCUAGAUACAACUGGAUCUUUUUGCCAUAUAUAGGCUUGCCUUGAUUCUAGUGUUUCCAUAUGCAUUUGCUUUUCGUUUCUUUUCUUGACAAAUUCGAACUUCUUUUAGUUUCUAAUUUUGUUACGCUACUUUUCUAUCUCUUCCACUGUAUCCCCAAUUCUCACGCCGACAAUGUAAAAUGCUCAUGCCAAAAUACAAACGAAUUCCAAUGUGUAGUGAAUUAAUGUAUAUCGAACGGUGUAUUUUGUUUUCUUCUAUUGUGCAAUUUCCCCCAUUAUCUUACUAAAACGAUGCUCAUACUAACAGGUUAUAGAUUUGACCAAUGGUAACUACAACUCCUCAUGGGAUGUUGACUUGCCAGUAAUGAUGGCUUGUCCUUCCAUCAUUCACAUUGCAUAAAUCAUCUGAGAGUAGCAAUGACACUGAUAUUAAGUUCCAUUUGCUAACUGGAUCACUAUCACGCUACCAUGUAAAGUUCUUGUGAUAAUUCAAACAUCGGGAUAAAUGCACUAUUCAUGUUAUUUGCGAUACACUUAACAUUCUACACUAGCAGCCAAAUCUCACUAACUUUUGACCAUAUAUAACAUUCCUCNNNNNNNNNNAAUCGAACGGUGUCUUUUGUUUUCUUUUCUUGUGCAAUUUCCCCCAUUAUCUUACUAAAACGAUGCUCAUACUAACAGGUUAUAGAUUUGACCAAUGGUAACUACAACUCCUCAUGGGAUGUUGACUUGCCAGUAAUGAUGGCUUGUCCUUCCAUCAUUCACAUUGCAUAUAUCAUCUGAGAGUAGGAGUGACACUGAUGUUAAGUUCCAUUUGCUAACUGGCUCACUAUCACGCUACCAUGUAAAGUUCUUGUGAUAAUUCAAACAUCGGGAAAAAUGCACUAUUUAUGUUAUUUGCGAUACACUUAACAUUCUCCACUAGCAGCCAAAUCUCACUAACUUAUGACCAUAUAUAACAUUCCUCCAGAUUACGAAGUACUCCCUCCAUCCAGAAAUACUUGUCUGGGAAAUAUUUCCGGACGAGGUGAUUAUUAUGGUGUUACCAAAGUAUUUUUAAGCAGUUGCUUGCAGCAAGGAAGAACUGGGAGCAGCCUUUGUUAAAGAUUUAUAAUAUGCCCGCUAGGUCAUGUAGGUACAUAGGUUCAUGACUAAUACCAUUCUACGACUCAAUAGCACUACAUUAAGUACCUAUAAUCCAUGUAGUGAACAAUGCAGUAAUCUGGGACUGAUGUGAUUACCUCCUCGUGCGAUCGUAGGUUGUUGGGGUAAACAUGCCACGGGAGCUUUUGGUAUAGAUAUAUAAUACAGUACUAAGUGCAUGCUUUUUGCAUAUAUAAAUUCAGGUAAAAAAUACAAUAGACAAAUAAAAGUUAAACAAAAGCAACAAAGCUCUUUGGACAAUAAGAGUACACAACUCUUCAUUAUAGUAUAACAGUACAACUUAUCCAUGCUACAUAUGAACCUUCCAUAAACAAAAAUCAAUCAAGUAGGACACUUGCCCUAGUAAACUACAUGUAGAAGAUGAUUUAGCUCGACAUGGAGCCUAUCAUAGAUUUGAUGUCAUUGGUAAUAUUCUUGGCAUCUGCUGCAAUACCAGCCAAUCCUCUCCUCGCUAACCCAGCACAGUAGAGGCCAUUUUCACCUUCCAAUGAUUUGGAUAUUCUUUGAUGGGCAAUCCAUUGUCAUUUAACAUGCUCUCACCAUUCUGGAUUCAAAAAUAACAUAGAGCUUGUUAGUUGAUUUAACAAUCNNNNNNNNNNNNNNNNNNNNNNNNNNNNNNNNNNNNNNNNNNNNNNNNNNNNNNNNNNNNNNNNNNNNNNNNNNNNNNNNNNNNNNNNNNNNNNNNNNNNAGAAAAAUGGGAACGACGGGUACAAGGUCCGGAGAGGCCACUGUUUCUCAGAUCUAAGUCUCCUGAUGAUUCUUGGCAUAGGGAAACAUUUUUGGAUAAUAAGGCAUCCAGCUCUUCUGAAUCACACAGGAAGAAGGAAAAUAAAAAGGAGAGGAAAUCGGAGAAAAAAGAGAGAAAGGAGAGGAAAGAUAAGAAGAAAUCCAAGCAUCACCACCGCCACCACCAUCACAAAAGCCGAAGAAGGGAGUGAUGUGCCCUAUUACUUAACUACAAUAUGUACACAAGAAAGGGCGUUACUGAAAGCUGCUGCCACCUGCUGUUAUUACUUGUUCACCGAGAACCUAUGUUGUAACUAAAACUCCACCAGUGCACACAAGGGGAUACGGUUGACACCGUGUCCCAUGUUUACACAUGUUAUAUGUUUUGCUCGAGUUGAACUUUCUUUGCCUAUAACAUGACUUGACAUCUGAUNNNNNNNNNNGCUGCUGCUAUUACUUGUUGACUGGGAACCUAUGUUGUAACUAAAACUCCACGAGUGCACACAAGGGGAUACGGUUGGCACCGUGUCCCAUGUUUAAACAUGUUAUAUGUGUUGCUCGAUUUGAACUUUCUUUGCCUAUAACAUGACUUGACAUCUGAUGAAAGUGAUUGAUUUUGCUUUUGUGACAUGAUCAAAGGUUCACAUUUGCAAUGAGCANNNNNNNNNNNNNNNNNNNNNNNNNNNNNNNNNNNNNNNNNNNNNNNNNNNNNNNNNNNNNNNNNNNNNNNNNNNNNNNNNNNNNNNNNNNNNNNNNNNNAUCUUGCAAAGGAGUUCUGUGAGUUGCCACACAUGUCGUACCCAGUAGAUGCACCAACAUACAUACCAAAAGCCUUGUUUGUGAAGUACUUGGAUGACUAUGUUGAGCGUUUCAAUAUUCGCCCGAAGUAUCACACUAGCGUGGAGUCAUCCACAUAUGACAAUGAUAAAAAAUGUUGGUCCAUUGUUGCAAAAGACAUGGCAAAGUGCACAACAAUCAAGUUCACGGCAAAGUUUCUCGUUGUGGCAAGUGGUGAGAAUAGUGCAGAGAAUAUUCCAACGAUCCCUGGACUCGAAAGUUUUUCUGGUGAAAUCAUCCACUCCUCAAGCUACAAGUCAGGAAAGAGCUACUCUGGCAAGAAUGUAUUGGUCGUUGGAUCUGGCAACUCCGGGAUGGAAAUUGCUUAUGACCUUGCGACCCAUGGUGCUAAUACUUCCAUUGUUAUACGAAGCCAGGUAUGUACAUGCAUUAUAUAUUUUCGUUGGGUAUAGGGACACAAUUCCUGUUAUAGUUCCAACUGAAGGGAUGCAAUUUUUCUGUGUUAUUAUUAAUAGAAAGUAUUUCAUAUAAUUGAAGGAUGGACUGUUUUAUAUCUCACACAAAUAACUAUACAACUGAAGGGAGUACAAGACAAAAAAANNNNNNNNNNNNNNNNNNNNNNNNNNNNNNNNNNNNNNNNNNNNNNNNNNNNNNNNNNNNNNNNNNNNNNNNNNNNNNNNNNNNNNNNNNNNNNNNNNNNGAUACCUAUCUGUUCAACCAAUUGCAUCUAGUGCAUGCCUUGGAUUCUCUAUUACCUAGGAACAAAACCCACACGGGCGUCGGCUGAGCCAUGAACCCUUCAUCAUGAUGACGAUUCGACAAAUGGGAGGAGGUCCAUAACCCAUAGAUAUGCGAAGCCAAGCCUCAAAGGAAAAACACAUGCAGUAAGGUUGAGGACAACAAGGAGAGAGUGGCUCAUGAGAAAUAACAUCGCUAGAACAUUGCCCGAGCCAUCGACAAAAUCUCCACUAUAUGACCUCCCAUCCUUUGUGUUCUUCCAUGCAUAACUCGUGGUUAUUGAGUCUCUCAUGCACAUUCAAUCAUGUCGACAACCCCUUGAUCUCAUGGUAACAAUGACAUAACGAUAAUGCUUUUAUUUAGGUUUAAUGUGGUGGUGAAGGAGGCUGGCCACAUUAGGAGAGUUGCUCGAGGGGUGCCAAAAGGUGCUAGUCCAAGUUGUGGGUAGCCAUUUGCUUACUACAACAUGGCUAAAAGCCGCAUCGUAGUAAAGGAAAGGAAGAAGGUAGUCCCCCCCUCUUUGGCUCUUGUCCCUCUACAUAAACUUUGUACACUCUCUAUGAAAUAAGUACGUCUAGAUUCUAUGAUAAAAAGGCUUCCAUGCAUGUCGAAAUUGCCAGAGUUUCAACAUUUCAAAUUCUUGGUAUUAAAAAAUAUGUUUUUCAUAACCUUAGAGAAAUGAAAUAAGGUUUGCUUAUAAUUUUGCNNNNNNNNNNGGCUUCAAUGCAUGUCGAAAUUGCCAGAAUUUCAACAUUUCAAAUUCUUGUUAUUAAAAUAUACGUUUUUUCUUAACCUUAGAGAAAUGAAAUAAGGUUUGCUUAUAAUUUUGCGUGGAGAAAUCUGACUCGUCCUUAUCCUAUGAGAAGAAAUAAACACUUGGACAUUAGACCGAUAGAAUUUUCAUUGAUGACGAUGGGAAAGGAAAGAAACAUGAAAGAUCUUUAAUCUAAACAUAUCCAAAGUCGGUUGAUAAGUUUUCCGUAACAACAAUCGAUCAAAACUUUGUUUCUUGCCUAUUCCGUAUGCGGACAACUUUCACACCAAUAGCAGUUCAAAUUUAAGAAUGAAUACAUGUACACAUCAAGAUAAGUCAUCAAUAAAUAUUUACCUUUUCCAUCCCUUAAUCCAACUAGAGAUUGGAACAUGAAAGAUACUAGUAUAUAUAUGACCCCAUAUGUGGAUAUCAUCCAAAGAUUCAUCGAGCAAUCAAACAAACACUCCAGUCUGCUACCACCACGCCUAUCCCACAACUUUUUCAACUCUUGUGUUUGAAAUGGAGAAUGUUGUAUUGUUGAUUGUUGGUGCUAGACCAGGAGACCUCUCAAUAGCAGCAUGCCUUAGCCAAUUUUCAAUUACCUAUGUCAUCCUCGAGCGUGAGAGCUGCAACGCUUCACUUUGGCGCAACCGUGCGUAUGAUCGCCUCAAGCUACAUCUUGCAAAGGAGUUCUGUGAGUUGCCACACAUGUCGUACCCAGUANNNNNNNNNNNNNNNNNNNNNNNNNNNNNNNNNNNNNNNNNNNNNNNNNNNNNNNNNNNNNNNNNNNNNNNNNNNNNNNNNNNNNNNNNNNNNNNNNNNNCCAACGCUUCAAAGGGGUUGUCAAUCCCUUCAAGAUUGUUUGCAAAGUGAGAUCUGACGGUGAAAAGUGCAUCGAAGUAAAAAGUUUAAGGCUUAAAAUAUGGUGUGGAGUAGACCGUGAGGGCCAUAGUGUUCACUAGAGGCUUCUCUCAUAAUAGCAAAUAUCACGAUGGGUGAAGAAAUUACUGUCGAGCAAUUGAUAGAGGGAUAAUCUCAAACCAAUGAUGAAAACCCCAUCUUUUUACCCUUGAUGGCAAAAACACGAUGCGUGCCUCGCUACCCCUUCUGUCACUGGGUGAGGUCACUGCACGGUAUGAACCCAAAACCAAGCACUUCUCCCAUUGCAAGAAUCAUAGAUCUAGUUGGCNNNNNNNNNNGACGAAACCCACAACUCGAAGAGAAUUACAAGAAUAUGAAAUCAUGCAUAAGAGAGAUCAGAAGAAACUCAAAUAAGAUUCAUAGAUAAUCUGAUCAUAAAUCCACAAUUCAUGGGAUCUCGACAAACACACUGCAAAAAAAGAGUACAUCGGAUAGAUCUCCAUGAAGAUCAUGGAGAACUUUGUAUUGAAGAUCCAAGAGAGAGAAGAAGCCAUCUAGUUACUAGCUAUGGACCCGUAGGUCUAUGGUGAACUACUCACGCAUCAUCGGAGAGGUCAUGGUGUUGAUGAAGAAGCCCUCCGUGUCCGAAUCUCCCCUCCGGCAGGGCACCAGAACGUGCCCCAGAUGGGAUCAUGUGGAAACAGGAGCUUGCGGCGGCGAAAAAGUGAUUGCAAUGAUCUCCUGAUUUUUUUGGGAUUUUUAGGGAAUUUAUAGGCGCAACCCCUAGGUCAGGGGACGCUCAGGGGGCCCACAAGCCUAGAUGGCGCGGACUCCCCCUGGCCGCGGGGUGGGGGCUUGUGGGGCCCCUGGGGCUCCCCUGCCUUGGCUCCCAAGCUCCCUGAUCUUCUUCCGUUCCAGAAAAAAUCUAUUCGGGGAUUUUCUACCGUUUGGACUCCGUUUCAAAAUCUCCUCUAAAAGGGGUCAAAAACAUGGAAAACACAGGAACUGACACUUGGCACUGAGUUAAUAAGUUAGUCCCAAAAAAUAUAUAAAAGGCAUGCAAAACAUCCAAAGUUUGACAAGAUAAUAGCAUGAAACCAUAAAAAAUUAUAGAUACGUUGGAGACGUAUCAAGCAUCCCCAAGCUUAACUCCUGCUCGUCCUCGAGUAGGGAAGUGAUAGAGAAUGAAUUUCGGAUGUGGAAUGCUACCUAGCAUAGUUGUCCUUUGCAACUUCUUUCACGUGGCAUGAAUGUUCAGAUCCGUAAGAUUGAAAACAAUAGUUUGCUAUUGACAUGAAAAGAGUAAUACUUCAAGCAAACUAGCAAAGUAAUCAUAAACUUUCAAAAUAACAAGGCCAAAGAAAGUUAUCCCUACAAAAUCAUAUAGUCUGGCUAUGCUCCAUCAUCCUCACACAACUAAUGUAAAUCAUGCACAACCCCGGUAUUGGCCAAGUAAUUGUUUUCGCACUCUUACUUUCUCAAACUUUUUAUAACUAUCACGCAAUACAUGAGCGUGAGCCAUGGAUAUAGCACUAUAGGUGGAANNNNNNNNNNUGGUUGUGAGACAAAAAGAAGGACAUGGUCACACUGACUCGGCCUAUCAAUAGGCUAUGGAGAUUCCCAUUAAUAGAUGUCAAUGUGAAUGAGUAGGGAUUGCCAUACAAGAGAUGCACUAGAGCUAUAAGUAUGUGAAAGCUCAAAAGGAAAACUAGUGGGUGUGCAUCCAACUUGCUUGCUCACGAAGACCUAGGGCAAUUUUGAGGAAGCCCGUCAUUGAAAUAUACAAGCCAAGUUAUAUAAUGAAGAUUCCCACUAGCAUAUGGUAGUGACAAAGCAAGAAGCUCUCAAUCAUGAAGAACAUGGUGCUAUCAUGAAGCACAAGUGUGGAAAGAGAUAGUAGCAUUGUACCUUCUCUCUUUUUCUCUCUUUUUUUCAUUUGGGCUCUUAGGCCUCUUUUUUUCUUUUUUUUUUGGGCUCUUUGGCCUCUUUUUUUUCCUCACACGAGAUAAUGCUCUAAUAAUGAUGAUCAUCACACUUUUAUUUACUCGCAGCUCAAAGAUCACAAUGAUGAUGACUCCAUAGGAAAUGCCUCCGGCAGUGUACCGGAAUGUGCAACGAUCUAGCAUGGCGUAUGACGUUGAAACAUCUCGCUAGCUAUCUUACGAUCAUGCAAUGGCAAUAUGAGAGUGACGACACAAUUCAUGAGACGGAACGGUGGGAGUUGCAUGGCAAUAUAUCUCAGAAUGGCUAUGAAAAUGCCAUAGUAGGUAGAUAUGGUGGCUGUUUUGAGGAAGGAAUUUGGUGGGUUUGUGUAUCGGCGAGAAUUGCGCGACACUAGAGAGGCUAGCAAUGGUGGAAGGUGAAAGUGCAUCUAUACCAUGGGCUCACAUUAGUCAUGAAGAACUCACAUACUUGUUGCGAAAGUUUUUAUUAGUAAUCGAAACAAAGUGCUAAACGCAUACUCCGAGGGGAAGGGUUGGUAGGUGUAAACCAUCGCGCGAUCCCGACCUCAACACAAAGGAUGAAAAUCAAUAGAUCAAUCAUGCUCCGACUUCCUAACAUAGCGGUUCACCAUACGUGCAUGCUACGGGAAUCACUAACUCCAACACAAGUAUCUCUAGAUUCACAACACCCUACUAACAUGACUUUUAAUAUUACCAAAUCCAUGUCUCAAAACUAUUUGAGAGGAAUCAAGACUUCUCUUUCUACUCAAUGCACAUGAAGAUGAAGGUUUUUUCAUCCUCUUUAGGUACCUAUCACAUUUGGAACUACUUUCAUAGGAUAAGCCAACUACCAAAUCAUGCACCGUCGUGCUCUAAAAGAUAUAAGUGAAGCACACAGAGCAAAAGUAUCUAGCUCAAAAGAUAUAAGUGAAGCACUAUGAGCAUUCUAGCAAAAAUCACGAUGAGUGCAUGUCUCUCUCUCUCAAAAAGGUGUGCAGCAAGGAUUAUUGUGACAAAACAAAAGGAAAAGAUGCCUACGAUACAAGACACUCCAAGCAAAACACAUAUCAUGUGGUGAAUAAAAAUAUAGCUCCAAGUAAUGUUACCGAUGGAUUGAAGACGAAAGAGGGGAUGCCUUCCCGGGGCAUAUCCAAGCUUAGGCUUUUUGGUGUCCUUGAAUUUGGCUUGGGAUGCCUUGGGCAUCCCCAAGCUUGAGCUCUUUCCACUCCUUAUCUCAUCGUCCAUGAGAACAUCACCCAAAACUUGAAAACUUCACAACACAAAACUUAAACAGAAACUCGUGAUAACAUUAGCACAAGAAAACAAACUACCACCUCUUUUGGUACUGUAGCAAACUUGAAUUCCAUCUAUAUUGGUGUUGGGAUACUGUAUUCUCACUUUUCCAUGGCUAGUACCGCCGAUACUAACCAUAGUUUUAUCAAAACAAGCAACCAACUCAACAAAAACAGAAUCUGUCAAAAACAGACCAGUCUGUAGCAAUCUGUAUACUUCGUAUACUUUUGGUACCUCAACAAAUCUGAAAAAUUACGACUGCCUGGGCAAAAGGCAUAUAAACCAGCAGCAAAAAGAAUCAACUCAAAAGCUCUUUCUGAAUAAAAAUGAAAAAUCAUCUCGUGAGCGAAACGUUUCUGUCUCUUUCCAGCAGGAUCAAACAACCAUCACCAAGACUAGUCAUAAAGGUUUUGCUUGGCUCAAACACAAAAAGAAACACAAAAAACACAAUCACAACAGAAUUAUGAAAGUGUGGACGCAACAAAACAGAAAGAAAAAGAUAAAUUCAUCGGGUUGCCUCCCAACAAGCGCUAUUGUUUAACGCCCUUAGCUAGGCAUUGAUAAAUCAAUGAUGCUCACACAAGAGACAAGAAUUGAAGCACAACGAGAGCAUCAUAAAGCAUGUGAAAAUCACAUCUAAGUCUAACAUACUUCCUAUGCAUAGGCAUUUUAUAGGAAAAUAGAUUGUAAAGACAACCAAUAGUUGCCAUAUGCAAGGAAGAAGAAAGAGACAAUAGCAAUCUCAACAUAACGAGAGGUAAUUUGGUAACAUGAAAGUUUCUACCAUAAUAUUUUCCUCUCUCAUAAUAAUUACUUGUGGGAUCAUAUUCGAAUUCAACAAUGUAACUAUCACAUAGGAUAUUCUUUUCAUGAUCCACAUCCAUGCAAAGUUGACGCUCUUCAAAAAUAGUGGGAUUGUCAUCAAGUAAAGUUAUGACUUCUCCAAACCCACUUUCAAUAAUAUUGCAAAUAUCAUAUUCAUCAUGAGGCUUAAACAAAUUUUCAAGAUCAUAAGAAAAAUCAUCGCCCCAUUCAUGAUCAUUGCAACAAGUAGUGGACAUAGCAAAACUAGCAUCCCCAAGCUUAGGAUUUUGCAUAUUUUUAGCAUGAUUGUCACUAAUAGAAUUUAUAGUGAAACCAUUGCAAUCGUGCUUUUCAUCCAAGGAGCCCUCAUGAAUCACUUCAUAAAUUUCUUCCUCACAAUUUUCAGAUUCACGCAUCUCAAGCAAAACUCCAUAAAGAUAGUCAAGUGCACUCAACUCACUAGCAAUUGGAUCAACAUAAUUGGAUCUCUUAAAGAGAUUAGCAAGUGGAUGAGGAUCCAUAUCACUAGAUUUUCAGCAAGCGAAGAUGCAAGCAUAUUGAAGGCACAUGGCACACAAGCGAACACAAAGCAAGCGAGAGAAAAGGACGAACGAAAAAAGGCAAAUUGGUGAAGUGGGGGAGAGGAAAACGAGAGGCAACUGGCAAACGAAGUAAAUGCAAGAGAUGAGUUUGCGAAACCUACUUGGAUGCGUUCUUGACUUGAUCUUCCUCCCCGGCAACGGCACCAGAAAUUCUUCUGGUGCGGCAACAAAAGUCCUUCCCUGGUGCGUAGCAAUUCUUCUUGUUACUUCUCUGAUUUGCAUCGGUUUUUCCAUUGAAGAGGAAAGGGGAUGCAGCACAGGAGCAGUAAGUAUUUCCCUCAGUUUGAGAACCAAGGUAUCGAUCCAGAAGGAGGGCCUCGUCAAGUCCAAAGUACCUGCGCAAACACAAACAAGCUUGCACCCAACGCUUCAAAGGUGUUGUCAAUCCCUUCAAGAUUGUUUGCAAAGUGAGAUCUGAUGGCGGAAAGUGCAACGAAGUAAAAAGUGUAAGGCUUAAAAUAUGGUGUGGAGUAGACCCUGGGGGCCAUAGUGUUCACUAGAGGCUUCUCUCAUAAUAGAAAAUAUCACGAUGGGUGAACAAAUUACUGUCGAGCAAUUGAUAGAACUGCGCAAAGUCAUGACGAUAUCUAAGGCAAUGAUCAUACAUAUAGGCAUCACGUCCGAGAGAAAUAGACCGAUACUUUCUGCAUCUACUACUAUUACUCCACACAUCGACCGCUAUCCAGCAUGCAUGUAGUGUAUUGAGUUCAUGACGAACAGAGUAACGCCUUAAGCAAGAUGACAUGAUGUAGAGGGAUAAUCUCAAACCAAUGAUGAAAACCUCAUCUUUUUACCCUUGAUGGCAACAACACGAUGCGUGCCUCGCUACCCCUUCUGUCACUGGGUGAGGUCACCGCACGGUAUGGACCCUAAACCAAGCACUUCUCCCAUUGCAAGAAUCAUAGAUCAAGUUGGGCAAACAAAACCCACAACUCGAAGAGAAUUACAAGGAUAUGAAAUAAUGCAUAUAAGAGAUCAGAAGAAACUCAAAUAAGAUUCAUAGAUAAUCUGAUCAUAAAUCCACAAUUCAUCGGAUCUCGACAAACACACAGCAAAAGAAGAUUACAUCGGAUAGAUCUCCAUGAAGAUCAUGGAGAACUUUGUAUUAAAGAUCCAAGAGAGAGAAGAAGCCAUCUAGCUACUAGCUAUGGACCCGAAGGUCUAUGGUGAACUACUCACGCAUCAUUAGAGAGGUCAUGGUGUUGAUGAAGAAGCCUUCCGUAUCCGAAUCCCCCCUCCGACAGGGGACCAGAACGUGCCCCAGAUGGGAUCUUGCGGAGAUAGAAGCUUGCGGCGGCGGAAUUUUUUUUCGUGAAUAUCUCUCGUGGUUUUGGAUUUUUCGUGGAUUUAUAGGCGGAAGAAGUAGGGCAGACGAGCCACGGGGGGGCCACAAGCCUGCUAGGCGCGCCCCCCCGUCCGCACCUAGAGGGCUUGUCCUCCCUUGGUGGCCUCAGCUUUGGUUCUCACGUCCCUUGCGUAUCUUCUGUUCCGGAAAAAAUCUUUUCGAAAGUUUUAUUCCGUUUGAACACCGUUUAAAAUUCUUCUUUGAAAAGGGUCAAUAGCACGGAAAAAACAGGAACUGACACUUGACACCGAGUUAAUAAGUUAGUCCCAAAAAAUAUAUAAAAGGCAUACAAAAUAUCUAAAGUUUGACAAGAUAAUAGUAUGGAACCAUCAAAAAUUAUAGAAACGUUGGAGACGUAUCAAGCAUCCCCAAGCUUAACUCCCGCUCGUCCUCGAGUAGGGAAGUGAUAAAGACUGAAUUUUUGAUGUGGAAUGCUACCUAGCAUAGUUGUCCUUUGUAACUACUUUCAUGUGACAUCAAUAAAAAGAUCCGUAAGAUUCAAAACAAUAGUUUGCUAUUGACAUGAAAAAAAUAAUACUUCAAGCAAACUAGUAAGGUAAUCAUGAACUUUCGAAAUAACAAGGCCGAAGAAAGUUAUCCCUAUAAAAACAUAUAGUCUUGGCUAUGCUCCAUCAUCCCCACACAACUAAUUUAAAUCAUGCACAACCCCGGUAUUGGCCAAGUAAUUGUUUUCGCACUCUUAUUUUCUCAGACCUUUUUCCACUCUCACGCAAUACAUGAGCGUGAGCCAUGGAUAUAGCACUAUAGGUGGAAUAGAGUGUGGUGGAGGUUGUGAGCAAAAAGGAGGAGAUGGUCACAUCGACUCGGUGUAUCAAAGGGCUAUGGAGAUGCCCAUUAAUAGAUAUCAAUAUGAAUGAGUAGGGAUUGCCAUACAACGAAUGCACUAGAGCUAUAAGUAUGUGAAAGCUCAAAAGGAGAACUAGUGCGUGUGCAUCCAACUUGCUUGCUCACGAAGACCUAGGACAAUUUUGAGAAAGCUCAUCAUUGGAAUAUACAAACCAAGUUAUAUAAUGAAAAUUUCCACUAGCAUAUGGUGGUGACAAAACGAGAGGCUCUCAAUCAUGAAGAACAUUGUGCUAUUAUGAAGCACAAGUGUGGAAAGAAAUAGUAGCAUUGUCCCUUCAUUCUUUUUCUUUUUUUGUUUGGGCACUUUGGUCUUUUUCCAUAUUUUUUUUGUGAGCAACUUUGGUAUCUUUUUUAAUUUCCUCACAUGAGAUAAUGCUCUAAUAAUGAUAAAAUACAAAGUUUGACAAGAUAAUAACAUGUAACCAUCAAAAAAUUAUAGAUACGUUGGAGACGUAUCACGUCUCCCUCCUUCCUAACCGUACCACACACCCACCUAGCGAACAGAGCCGAGGUUCCCCCUCCCUCCCACCGCCGGAGCGGCCGACGAAGAGAGAGGGAAUCAGAGGCGUCACCGGUGGCACGCAAGGGAACCUUGGUCGCCUCCCUUGAUCACCUCGUGCGAUCCUACUUUUCCGAGGGAGUUCGUGAGAAGUAGUAGGAUCUUAUUACAUACUUAUUACUAUUGUUAUUUGUCACUUGUUAUAAAUUAUCUUGAUAUAAAAUUAUCUAUCAUUGUUACUUAUAACAUUUGCGAGAAUAAUUUGUCGAAACUGUUUAUCAUCUCUUUGACCCGUUUACUAAAUGUGCUACGGCGGGCCGGGCGAUUAAGACGAUCUGGUCCGUUUCCGUAUCGCUUGUGACCACGAGUGUGUAUACCUUGGAAAAAAAUAAUCCCCAAGCUCCAUUCCGAUUUUUUUUUCUAUCUCCCGCAGGCUGCCUCCCGUCCUCCCUUCCCAGGCUGUCGGCGGCGACCCAGCCCUAGCUCGCCGCCGAACCACNNNNNNNNNNNNNNNNNNNNNNNNNNNNNNNNNNNNNNNNNNNNNNNNNNNNNNNNNNNNNNNNNNNNNNNNNNNNNNNNNNNNNNNNNNNNNNNNNNNNNNNNNNNNNNNNNNNNNCGCUCUCCGCUGCUCCUCCGGACCCUCCCCUCAACACCCCCGCGCUUGUCCGCUGUUUUUUGUUCGGAUCCCGCGCCUCCCCGGUCCCUUCCAUCGUCCUGAUCCGCGCGCCCCCUUCACCCUUCGCCGACGGCGACGCCCUCCGCUGCUCCACGUCGGGAUCCCGCGUCCUUCAUCCGUGUGAGGGCGGAUCCGCUCUUCACCGGCACCAGCAGAUCUUCACCAGCGACAGCGAGGUGAGCUCCUGACCCCGCCUUCUGCUCGACCCUAGCUCCAUGGCCGGCUCGGUUUUGACAAACAGCAACAGUUUUGUAAUAAUUUGCUGUGAUAUUGUUGUAUGACUUUUGGUUUGAAAUCGACGACCGAGUACACUUGUUGUAUGAUUUUGUUGGUUCAGUGUUUUGUAAUGCCAAAGAUUCUCAUGAUCAUUCAAUAUUCGGCAUAUCAUUGUACUGUGACAUUUGUGCUAUUUAAAUCUGUAUCCACUUGAAAUAUUUGCAGUGUUCCCUUGUGGCGAAAUUUGUACUAUUUGAAUAUGUUGGGUACAUAUAUUUGCAAAGUGCACUUGCAACCUUGCCCGUACAACUUUGUCUGUCCGACACCAAUGGUUGUUCAUUGAGAAAAACUCUGUAAUAUACAGAGGGGGUGGAGCUGGCGGCCGAAUGUUUUGCCAAAUUCCAAAAUGGAAAGUGGAGUGGAGAUUUUAGAAUUAUGAGGAGUGGAGGGUUGCUGAACUGCCUGUUAGUCUGCUCCUAUUCGUAGAUGGUAGGAAAAUUUCUGCUUUGUGUCUUUUGCUGUUCUAAAUCCUGCAGAUUGUUGAGGUUGAGCAGUUUCUUUUUUAGUUUGAUGGAUGUCCAUCUUACAAUAACUAAUUGGUCAGAUUCGUUAGCUUGUAGGAUUGAUUUUGUUAGAAUGGGCUCAUUUUUGUGUGGGACCGAUUGGCACAACAGUUAAUCAUCGCGGCUUUGUUUAUAUGCAAGAGAGCCCACAUGUGAGCAUUACCUGCACCUUGUCGUUUUGAACGGACCAGAUCCAUGCUGCUUGUCCUGUUGCAUCUUUACUUGCACUACUGGCCUGUCUUGAAUCAUGCAGCUUGCUUCUGAUCGAACCUAUGCUAUGGCAUAAAUGUGGGCCAAACUCUGCAUGGUGUACACAAGGAUUUAAAAUUUCUUCAUAACUAUAGGCAGUUUAUUAAUCCAGCCGAACAGGUAGUAACAUUUAAAGUGGUAAUCUAAGGCCUCUUCCAAUGCGAAGGUGCUUACAUGAGGUGCUAAGCACAUUAAAAAGUGUAGCAACUAAAGCCCCCAAUGCAUCCGUGUUUAACUUGUUGCUAAACAUCCUUCAUUUAAUGAUUUUGCAACUAAAGUUGUUCAUGCAUUGGUGGGCUUCUUUCAUUUAAGUGUUUUGCCUAGGUUCAUGCACUUAGCGUUGUUUCUUCCUGGGGUCACCACACUCAUCUUUUUCCUAUUAAUUAGCUUGCCACAUCGGCUUCUUUGCCUACAUGACAGCCUUAGCACCUGUAUAAGGUUGAUCAUUGGGAGGGGCCUAACGUAGGAGGCUAGUCCAAAAUCCCCACUUUUGUUAAUAAUUUAUACUCCCUCUGUUUUGUAUACAAGACCACUAUAUCGUUUUUCAGAUACCAAGAAAACAAAACCAACUAAUAAAUAGCACAGUUAAUUGUGUGGAAAACCUCCCAUGUUCUUGGCUAAUUAAACUUUUUGCAUGUGGUGCCUCUUUCUCUAUGGCUGCAUGCAAUGUUUUCACUAAUAAGGAUAAGCACCAUCAUACGAGGCAAAAAUCUAAUCAAUUCUUCUCGGGAAGAGAUAGUGGCCUUGUAUAGAUACAAAUUGUAUUUUUGAUAGUGGCCUUGUAUUUAAAGGCAGAUGGAGCAGUAUUUUUUUUAUCAAACAUUAAAUAUGGUGUGAAAAUUGGAUUUUUGUUGUAAAAUUCAGUUUGUAGAACCUCACUAUCAAUACUUGUGUGCUGAAAGCUCCCACACAAGGUGUGGUCUGGGGAAGACAAUUUCUGGAUGCCUUACUCUUGCAUAAUAAUUCUGCAAGGAGGCUGGUUCGAACCCAGGACCUCCUGGUCCAGGCCACAAGCGGAGAGACUCUACCCACCGCGCCAUGUCCGCCCUUCUGUCAAACUUGUGAUUUCACAGCUAAUAAAUUGUUCAUUUGAUGUUGCUUUAGAUCAGAGUAUUGUUUAAUGUACUAAAUAUUUCAUUUCUGUCUUCAUAGUUGCUGAAGUUCAAAUUGGGCAAUGGAUCUUGACACAGAGAAUCGUCUAGCUUCAUUACUCCUUGAAGAAGCACGGAGAUUACAGUCCGAGGCUGACAGGGAAGGUGUUCAUGCAUAUUUGCGGAAGCCCAAUGUCAGGCAUCGUCCAAACUCCCGGUUCCUCACAGCCACAGUUCGUGGAGUUCAACAAGGUUAGCAUCAUGUUUCUUUUACAGUAUCCUUGUCUCCUUGUGUUGAUUACCUGAUCAAAGCAGCUGUAAUCAUGCUUUUUUACUGAAGAAAAUGUUUUUUAUGUCCUUGAAACCUUCUCAUUAGGAGAAUUCAUCCAAAACUAAUCACAACAAUUGAAGGCAGUUACAAAUUUGCAAUCAUGUAGGCACCACUUUAAAUUGCUUCCUCUAACUCGGCGUGGUUAACUAAAUAAGCAUUAAUGACUACUCCCUCUGUCCGGAAAUACUUGUCUUAGGAAUGAAUGUAUCUAGAUAUAUUUUAGUUCUAGAUACAUCCAUUUUUAUACAUUUGUGCGACAAGUAAUUCUGGACGGAGGAAGUACUUUAUAAGUAUUUUUGAACUGGAAGUGUAAAUUUGUGGGCGAGCACAGAUGCUCCGCUUAUCUCGUAUGUUAUUUCUCCUAGAUCCAUGGACGUUCUGGCACUAUACCUUGUAUAAAGAUCGGUAUUUCCUCCUUCACUGUUGAUCUGGCCCACACUGGUCGCUGAGUUAUUGUGCUAGAUACCUACAGAUGUCUUCUGGCUCAGACAUCGUUUCACGGUGGGCCAUCUGCACCUUUCUCCAUCAUCCUGAGCAGUCCCAUUAAUGCAAUCCAUUUAGAAACUUCCAUAAAAAAUAUCACAGAAACAAAUUCACUUCCAGUAGCAACUUCCCCCUUCAAGAUUCUUCUCCUACCUAUAUAUGACGGGGGGAUAACCCCGGGCUAGGCAAAUUCGAGCACUUCCCCAUCCGCCUUAAAAAAACAACACAGGGUGGCCUCUUCUCCCCAGAAGGCCGGUUGCCCCUGGCCGGCUGCGUAGCCGAGCCGGCUCGUGGCUGAGUCGUUCUCCAUCCGGCUCGANNNNNNNNNNNNNNNNNNNNNNNNNNNNNNNNNNNNNNNNNNNNNNNNNNNNNNNNNNNNNNNNNNNNNNNNNNNNNNNNNNNNNNNNNNNNNNNNNNNNNGUCCCGCCAGCCGGAUGGGUCAGCCCUAGUCACAUCACCCUGACAAGCGCGUCAGGGACGCAUCAUCAAAGGCGUGGCUACAGUGGCCCAGGUACCGCUAACCUGACCGUGCUUGGCUACAGUAGUGGCGGUCGUACCACUGACCCUCGCCGACUGCGACCAGUCGAGGUGGCACAGUGGCAACACGCCUCCCAUCCACUCCAUUACCUGCCCCGGCGUGGCUACAGUGCAGCCGGCCGUACCGCUGACUGCAGCCGGCUGCCACAAGACGAUGACACACGGUGCGGCCCGUAUCACUGCGUGACGAGCACGCACCAAUAGCAGCAACUGGCCGGCGAGCCCCGGCUCCCGAUGGGACCCUGCAGCCGGCGGGCCCUACACGCGACAUGACCCCUCAAUCGGGGGCCCCCGUGGCCGGCUAGAGGUUGCCAGCCGGGUCCUGCCGGUACCUUUUAUGCUUAUUGCAAGCCAGGGGGUUGGCCUAUAAAAUCCCUUGGUAUCGCCCCAUGCAAGGCGUCGACCAAUCACACACACACACACACCCAUACAGGAGAGGUAGAGAAGGCUACCAGCUUCUUCCUCCUCCGUCGCACAACUCAAGGAGCACCAUUGUAAUCCCAUUCGGUUUAGCAACCAAACCAACAGGACUAGGGGUGUUACCUCCCACGGAGGGCCCGGACCUGGGUACAUCGUGUGUCUCACACCGCUUGUCCCCGAUCCCAUUUCCGGAGCCUGCCGGCGCUUACGGCCCCAACCACUCUCAAUUUGCCACCCAUGGCAUCUGUCGUGAGAAAACGACGACAGUUGGCAACCACCAUGGGGUCGUCCACGGCGAUGACCGGAGUCACGCUCCGGGCGGGACCCUCAGCCUACUUUGCCGGGCGCAUCGCGUCCGGACUAAUCAGCACGCUUGUGGAGCUCUCCUUUGCGGAAACUUCCGUGACGCUCAACCCCGGCUUCACCUGCUCCGCAGGCCUCGCCAUCGGUUCCUCCGACAAGACGUGCUGAGGUCACGCCUCGCUCGAUGUCGGCGAUCUCUGCGUGCUCUUCAACAAGCCGCGGCUCGACGCCGCGUCGACGUUCGACGAGUACCCCAACGAGGUGCUCAACUGCACCGAUCCGCCAUCCUUCGCAAGGGCAACCGUCUCGAGAGGUGCCAUCGACCUCCGCGUCCUCGCGGAGGUAAUGGCUACUCCUCCACGAGCUCCAAUCGCGCUAGGGCGCAGGCGGACGCAACUGCCGUUGCGUCUCGCGCCAGGGGUGACGCGCAUGCAACCGUCAUCGUGGCUCGUCCUGGUCCUUUCCGAUCCUCUCCGCUCCACUCUUCAGGGGCUGAGCACCCUCAUCGCGCAAACGGCCAACCCGGCCGCAGCCACAACCGAGCUGGAGAUGGCUCGCAAGCAGCUGCUCGCGGAGGCCACCUCCCUCGCGAGCGGCCGACGUUGGAUGGAGUCUGCAGCUUGAGUACAACUCCGCCUAUAGUCUCACCUCGGCUGGCGACGAGCCCAGCCGGCGCGGUGAGGUUCAUAGCCGCGGCCGCGUAGUCGUCGAGAUCCUAGGCGGCAGGCUGCCCACCUACGACACCCCUGCGGCCAACAUGAGGGCCGCCCAAGUGGCCUACGAGGAUUUGGCCACCAUGGAGGGCGAGGGGCGUGGGCAGCAGGAAAAGCACAUCCAAGACCUCAUCAUCGCUGCCAAUUGCAGGAGGCUUGCCUCGACCCGACCCAUUCUGGCUUCGAGUCUCCCCACCUCGAGGACGAGGACCAGCGGGCUGCCAGUGGCCGAUAGCAGGCCCAACACUCUUCCUCCCCUCGUGGCUCCGGUCGGCGCGCCGAUGGGAGCUGCGGCAGGCGCUCCCAACGCNNNNNNNNNNNNNNNNNNNNNNNNNNNNNNNNNNNNNNNNNNNNNNNNNNNNNNNNNNNNNNNNNNNNNNNNNNNNNNNNNNNNNNNNNNNNNNNNNNNNNNNNNNNNNNNNNNNNNNNNNNNNNNNNNNNUGACGCCCCCGAGGGAGGCGGCCGGUCAGCUCGCGCCUACACCGCACCUCCACGGCAAGAGCGGGCACGCUCGUCGGCUCCAUCUGUCCGGGCCGAGCUCAUGGCUCGGCUCCGACCGCGCGUCCCCUAAGAAAGAACAAAGCCCGCCUUCGUCUCGACCGGCUGGGCCCAAUCCGCCCUCCUCAAGGAGGGCCAGAUCGGUCUGGCGUGCUUCGGCCCCCGGAUUCACGAGGAGCCGUUUCCCACCGGCUUCACGCUUCCUCGAGACACUCCAAAGUACAACGGUACGACUAAGCCUGAAGAUUGGCUGAUCGAUUGCACCAUCGCAGUCUGCAUCGCCAGGGGAAACAAGCUGUUGCGGUGCGCUACGUCCCCCUCAUGUUGACCGGCUCGGCCCGAACUUGGCUUAACAGCUUGCCGGCCGGCAACAUCAAUGCUUGGGUAGACUUUGAGGAAGCGUUGGUGCGCAACUUCACCGGCACCUACAAGCGCCCCGGUGGUCCCUGCGAGCUAGCCAUGUGCGUCCAAGCGGCGGACAAGCCCUUUUGCGACUACCUCACGCGUUGGAUCGAGCUGCGUAACUCUUGCGAAGGGGUGCACAUGUGCGUCCAAGCGGCGGGCAAGCCCUUUCGGCCAUCCAAUACUUCAUCGAGGGUGAAGCUCAUGGCCAAGGCGGACAAAUACGCCACGGUCGACUCCGUGAUGCGGAUCAAGGUCACCGCAACCGGCAAGGCCACCCCACCGCCGGCUACCCCACGACCAGUUGCCGAAAGCCGGCGACAGCAGAACAACAAGCGGAAGACUGACCAGCCGGAUCCCCGGUACGGGAACAAGCAGGUCGCUACCAUUGAGGAAGAGCAACCGGCUGCCCAGGCCGCCAGCCAGCGCCAGCGAGCCGGAAGGGCACCUGGCAGCCUAAGCUCACCUUCGAGCAGAUGCUCGACGCACCUUGCAAGAUGCACUUCGGGGCGAAGCCGGCUACACACACGCUCCAGCAGUGCAGCUUCUCCCAGCGACUGGCCCGAGGUGAGGGCCUUCCGACCGCUCCACCUCCGGCUCAAGUUUCGGCUCCUGCGUCGGUUUCGGCGCCGGCUCCCCCCAACGACGGCCGCCUCCGCGACUAGUUCCUCGACCAGGACGGGGCCUAUGUCGUCUUCACGAGUGAAGGCAGCGACAAGCACAACUAGCGAUAACGUCGGAACGAGGUGGACACCACCGUGCCCUUGGUCCCCCAGUACAUGCACUGGUCCGAGAAGCCGCUUACCUGGAGCCUGGCGGACCACCCGACCGUAAUGCCAAACCCUGGCAGCUACGCCCUCGUUCUUGCGGGCUCAUCUGCCGGUUCUCGCGGGUGCUGGUCGACGGCGGCAGUAGCAUCAACAUUCUCUACUGCGACACGUUGCUCAAGCUGGGGCUCAGGGAAAAAGACAUGAAGCCGACCCGGACGGUUUUCCACGGCAUCGUGCUAGGGCAAUCCUGCUCCCCUAAUGGCAAAAUCCAGCUCGAUGCCCUUUUCGGCGACAAGGCCCACUUCCGCCGCGAGCUGGUAUGGUUCGAGGUGGUGGAGCUCAACAACCCCUACCAUGCGCUGCUGGGUAGGCCGACGCUUGCCAAAUUCAUGGCGAUCCCCCAGUACGCCUACCUCAAGAUGAAGAUGCCGGGUCCCAAGGGCAUCAUCACCGUAGCCGGCGAGUACAAGAAAUCAAUCGAGUGCGUGCGUGACAGUAGCCGGCUGGCCGAGGCGUUGGUGAUCGCGGAGGAGAAACUCUCGACCGACUCAUGGCCCAGGCCAUCGAGCAGCCGGCCGUGCCGACUCCCCCGUCCUAGCCGACCAGCGAGGAGACGUUCCAGCCGUCCAAGGACACCAAGCAGGUGCCACUCGACUCGGUCAACCCGAAGCAGUGCAUCACCAUCGACGCCACCCUCAGCAGCAAAUAGGAAGGCGAGCUCGUCGACUUCCUCCUUGAGAAUCGGGACAUCUUUGCAUGGUCACCCAAGUACAUGUCUGGUAUUUCGAGGAAGUACGCCGAGCACAAGCUUCAUGUGCGACCGGAUGCAAAGCUGGUCAAGCAACCCCUGCGCCGUUUCUCUGAGAAGAAGCGGCGUACUAUAGGAGAACAGAUCGCGUUCGCAACCGGUUUCGUCAUGGAAGUUUUUCACCCGGACUGGCUGGCCAACCCAGUCUUGGUGCUGAAGAAGAACAAAACAUGGCGCAUGUGUAUCGACUACACUAGGCUGAACAAGUCAUGACCAAAGGAGCCAUUCGCCUCGCCCCGGAUCGAUCAAGUGAUCGACUCCACAGCUGGCUUUGAUUUGCUGUCCUUCUUGGACGCCUAUUUCUGCUACCACCAGAUCAAGCUGGAUCCGACCGACCGGUUGAAGACCUCCUUCAUCAUCCCAUUCGGAGCCUACUGCUAUGUCACUAUGUCGUUCGGCUUGAAGAAUGCAUGCGCCACCUUCCAGCGUUGCAUGCAGAAGUGCCUCCUACCCCAAAUCAGCAGAAACGUGCACAUCUACGUCGACAACAUCAUCGUCAAAUCCAAGAAGCACUUUAGCCUCCUCGACGAUCUCCGGGAGACUUUCGCCAACCUGCGCGAGUAAAAGGUCCGGCUCAACCCGGAGAAAUGCGUCUUCGGCAUGCCAGCCGGCCAGCUCCUGGGUUUCUUCGUGUCCGCGCGCGACAUCGAAGCCAACCCGGAGAAGAUCAAGGCCAUCGAGCGCAUGCACAAGCCCACGAAGCUCCGCGACGUCCAGAAGUUUGCUGGUUGCCUGGCCUCGCUCAGUCGGUUCGUCAGCCGGCUCGGUGAGAAGGCGCUGCCCCUUUACCAGCUCAUGAAGAAGACGACCAAGUUCGAAUGGGCCGACCAGGCGGAUAAAUCAUUUCGCAACCUCAAACGCGCCCUAUCCAGCGCGCCCGUCUUGGCCGCGCCAGCCGAAAAGGAGCCUAUGCUCACGUACAUCGUGGCAACCACACGCGUGAUCAGCGUCGUUCUAGUGGUGGAGCGGCCUGAGGAGGGCAGGGCGUUGCCUGUUCAACGCCCUGUCUACCAUCUGAGUGAGGUCCUUUCCGCCUCCAAGCAGAACUACCCUCAUUACCAGAGGAUGUGCUAUGACAUAUACUUUGCCGCCAAGAAGCUGAAGCAAUACUUCCAGGAACACACCAUCACCGUGGUGAGCACGACUCCGCUUUCAGAAAUCAUGGGCAACCGGGACGACACCGGCCGGAUCACCAAGUGAACCAUCGCCAUCGCCAAACACGACAUCCAGUAUGAGCUGUGCACUGCCAUCAAGUCUCAGACGGUGGCCGACUUCCUCGUUGACUGGGCCGAGACCUAAUUUGUGCCGUUGCCUCCGGACUCCACGCACUGGCGCAUGCACUUCGACGGCUCCAAGAUGCGAACCGGCUUGGGAGCCGACAUCGUCCUGUCGUCCCCAAAAGAGGACCAGCUCAAGUACGCUCUCCAGAUCCACUUCGCCGUCUCCAACAAUGUGGCCGAGUAUGAGGCGCUCGUCCACGGCCUCCGACUCGCCAGGGAAAUCGGCAUCCGGCGAAUCCUUUGCUUUGGGACUCGGACAUCGUGGUGCAGCAAGUCUCUGGCAAAUGGGACACCAGAGACGCCAACAUGGCCGGCUACUGCUUCCUCGUCUAACAGCUCACCGGCUCCUUCGAGGGCUGUGAGUUUCACCACGUCCCCCGGGCGGACAACAAGGCGGCGGACGCAAUGGCAAAAAUCGGCUCCACCAGUUAGGCGCUCCUAGUCGGCGUCGCUCUCGAGUAGUUGCACAAACCAUCAACCAAUCCGUCUCCGGAAUCGGCGUCGAUCUUCGUGCCCGCGGAUCCCUUUGGCUCCUUAGGCUCGGGGGCUCCGCCGGCUCCCCCAGCGUUGCCCCCGAUCAAAACCAGCAGGACUAGGGGUGUUACCUCCCACGGAGGGCCCCGAACCUGGAUACAUCGUGUGUCUUGCACCGCUUGUCCCCGAGCCUGUUUUUAGAGCCCGCUGGCGUCCUUACGCCCCCCCCCCCCCCCCCCCCCNNNNNNNNNNUCGUUUCCGAAUCUCCCCUCCGGCAGGGCACCAAAACGUGCCCCAGAUGGGAUCUUGCGGAAACAGAAGCUUGCGGCGGCGGAAAAGUGAUUGCGAUGAUCUCCUGAUUUUUUUUGGGAUUUUUAGGGAAUUUUAGGCGCAAAGUCAGGGGACGCUGAGGGGGCCCACAAGCCUGGAUGGCGCGGCCUCCCCCUGGCCUCGGGGUGGGGGCUUGUGGGGCCCUAGGGCUCCCCUGCCUUGGCUCCCAAGCUCCCCAAUCUUCUUCCGUUCCAGAAAAAAUCUUUUCGGGGAUUUUCUUCCGUUUGGACUCUGUUUCAAAAUCUCCUGUGAAAGGGAUCAAAAACAUGGAAAAAACAGGAACUGGCACUUGGCAUUGGGUUAAUAAGUUAGUCCCAAAAAAUAUAUAAAAGGCAUGCAAAACAUCCAAAGUUUGACAAGAUAAUAGCAUGAAACCAUCAAAAAUUAUAGAUACGUUGGAGACGUAUCAGUUCACUAGUGAUGUCUCUUUCCUAAAAGACGAUAAACAACUUUGCAUGGAUAAACAAAUUACAGCUGGGCAAUUGACAGAAUUAUGAACGCAGCGCAAUGCUAAUUAUGCUACUUGAAAAUUAGAGGCUCAAUAGUAAUGGUCAGUACGCCAAGACAAGUAGACCGUUUAUUCAUCAACAUCUACUUACUAAUCAUCCACCUUGAGAUAUCUAUCCAGAACAUCUCGCUGGUAUUAAGUUGUGAGCCCCACCCAAAGUGUAAACUCAAAGCAACACACAACUGCAUUAACAAAUUUGCGUAAGGUAAAUAAUACUUGCAACCGCGGUCACAAGCACCGUUGUUUUCUCCCUGGUGGCAACAACAAACCACCUAGUCUCAUAUUUCUGUCACUCAAGCUAGACAUCAGGGGGCAUGAACCCACAAUCAUGCAUAACGCUACCUCUUGGAGUUAUAAUCUACUACUCGGCCAAAACAAUAAAAAGCAACGGAGAACAUGCAUGAAUCACUAAAGAACAUAAUAUAAAAAGAUAUUCAAAUAUAUAACUCAUCAAAAUCUGAAGAUAAUCUCAUAAUCCAUCGGAUCCCAGCCAGGUUCAAGUCCCCACGGGCGCGAAUUUGGGUUCUUAUUAUUUCAAAAAAAACUCGUUGUGGGGUGUUUCCAUUACAGUUUUCCUUCAAAAAAAUCCAUCGGAUCCCAACACACCGAGCAUAGCAAUAGUAGGAAAAUUACAUAGAUGCCUUGAUCAUGUAGGGCAGCUCACAAGGGCUAAUCAUUGAAGCACAAGAUUGGAGAGAAGACAUCACAUAGCUAGUGGACAUGGAUUCAUGGUCCAAGAAGGACUAUUCACGACACGUCCAGGAAGCGUCCAUGGCGGUGAAGAAGCUCCCGGAGGUCAAUCUUCCCUCCGGCAGGGUGCCGGGAAGAGGUCUCCUGACGCUCCCGUUCUCGGAAGCGCUGCGGCGGGGGAACGAUGGAGAAAUUCGCGAUUCUGGAUAUGCUUGAAGGGUUUCCGAUCGAAGGGGUAAAUAUAAGCCAAAGGAGGGCGUCAGAGGAGGUGGGGCCCACCCAGGCGACCUGUGGGCGCGGCCAGGGGCCAAACCACGCAGGGAGGCCGUCUGGGCAGCCCCUGGCUCACCUCUGGCCCAUCUUUGGUGCUCCGGAAGCUUCUGUCACGCUGAUUUUUAUAUAUUUUUCUCAGGAUUUUUGGAACUCUAGAAAUUUGAGUAAAAGUCCCUGCAAAAAAGACAUCAACAGACAGAAACUGGCACUGGGUGCACUGAGUUAGUAGGCUAGUCCAAAUAUGUGUAAAAAGAUAUGAAAGUGUAGCAAAAUAUAUAACAAUGCCACCCAAAAGAUCAUAGAACAAGCAGAAAUUAUAGAUACGUUUGGGACGUAUCAUGCACAUAUCCCUCUUUGUUAAAAUUGUUCAAGCUUGCGAGGCCAAUUGUCGAUAUUUUACUCGAAGAAGGAAUGCCAUGGGCUUCAAGGGAUUUAUUGCAUAUCAGAAAAUCUCGGCAACUAUGCGGAUAAUUUCAUACGACAUUCCGGCUGACUAUACCGACGAGUACCUUCGCAUUGGGGAAGAUAGUACAGUUGAGUGAGUGCGUAGGUUUGCGAAAGUGAUUGUCCAUGUCUUUGGUCCUUGAUAUCUUCGGGCACCGAACGAGGAUGACACAAAAAAUUGAUGGCAUUUAACGAAAGAAGAGCUUGGCCUGGCAUGCUAGGAAGCAUAGAUUGUAUGCAUUGGACUUGGAAAAAUCGCCCAAAAGCAUGGUAGAAAAUGUAUUGUGGCAAGUCUUGUGAUGCAACAAUUGUGCUCGAGGUCGUAGCUUCACAUGAUUUAUGGAUUUGGCAUUGAUUUUUUGGUAUGCCAGGUACUCUAAAUGAUAUCAAUAUGUUGCAACUGUCUCAUUUUCUUGCUAGACUUGCGAGUGAUGAUGCUCUCGCUUGCAACUACACUAUCAAUGAGCAUGAAUAUACAAAAGGAUACUAUCUUGCACAUGGUACUAUAUACCCUUCUUGGUGCACAUCUAUGAAGAGCAUCAAAGACUACAAAAGUACAAAAAAGUCUGAAUUCGCAAUUUGCAAAUAUGUUUUUAUACGGGUCCAUUUUAAGGGGUCUGCCUGUGUCCGCACCCUUGUCGGCCCGCAAAAUUCGUUUUUCACGAACUGUAAACAGCUUUUGCGCGUCCGCAUUAUAUGGGGUCUCCUAAAGAUGCUCUAAGUCCCCUGUUGGUCUAGCGCCUGUCGACCACCCCCAUGAAACUGGUGAAGGGAAAGCUCCUAUUGAUAGAACAAAACCAACAACCCCUCAGGGUUAUCCUGCGUUUGGGAUAAGAGGUCGAGUAUAUCGCACCUUGGCAGUUGUUUGGCGUCUUCUAGAAGAAAUCUACUUGUCAAUUAUGCGACAUUGAACAUAGAUUAUGAAGAGCUUUGUGUCCAACCUAGCAUUGUGGUUAUACUCCCUCCGUUCCUAAAUAUAAAUAGUUUUAGAGAUAUCACUAGAAGACUACUUACAAAUGUAUAUAGACAUAUUUUAAAAUGUAGAUUCAUUUAUUCUGUUUUAUAUCUAGUCCAGUAGUACAAUCUCUAAAAUGAUCUAUAUUUAGGAACGGAGGGAGUAUAUGUGGCGGAGACGAGUCAAAUGAGGGUUUCCUUCAUCCGUGCAUUGAUCCUUUGAACACUACAGUGGAUCUAGUAGUGUUUAUGUUUGACAGAUAGAUUUCUCCAUACCAAAUGUACGGACAUUUAGAUGGUUCUCCAGGUAUUUUUGUAUUUCAACAAUGUUGAAGGCAGUGAAAAAGAAAAAGGUUAUCGUUGAGAGUUUCGUCUUCUCUAAUAUUAUUUCGUUAACGCCUUUAGUAUUGAUUUUUGGACAUGUAGGAGAUGUUUCGUGUCUUUUUCUUGUUUGAUACCAGAUCAAUGAGCUAAGUACAUUAAAUAGUACUUAGCUUAUUGUAGCUAAACCUCCUUAUUUAAUGCAUUGAUGCAUUUCUUUUAUUUAAUUGAUUUAUCUCGGCUCACGCGUUUAGCAUUUUUUUUCUGGGUCAUCAUACUCAUCUCUCUCCUAUUAAUUAGCUUGCCACAUCAGAUUUUUUGCCUAUGUAGCAGCCUUAGCACCUCUACAAGAUGAAGCUGCAAACGCAGUUUGCAGUCCAGUGCAAACUGGGUUGCAGUUUCAGAAACGUGUUGCGCAGAACAGACAAGACAAACAGAACUGCAAAUUUAAACAUUCAAACUACGCCGGAGAUUAGUUCAUCCAAUACUAGUUCAUCCGUUGUUCGUUAAGAUUUACAUCGCGGGGGGAGGGGGGUUAAACAUUGCCACAGAUGGUCAAAAUGCGCUCGAAGACGUGGCCAUAACCCUAAACAGACCAAAAUUAGCUCACUGGAGCUCGCAGGGUGCGGCCGCGCCUUCGCCGGAGUGCAUUCACUCCUCUUCGGAGUCGUCGUCGACGUAGAUGACGACGGAUUUCCCCUUCUCGCGUGCCUUGGCGGCCUCCUGCUCGCGGUGGAGGCGGUCCUGCUCGAGGCCCUUCUCGAGCAAGAGCUGAUCAAUGUCGACCUCCCGCAUGUGGUGCUUGGCGUCGUGUUCGACCUCCUCCGCGGAGCGCGCCGCGACCGCGCGGUCACCGUGGCGAGGACCUCCUCGGGGACGAAGUCCUCGCGGGUCACCGAGCCCUCGAAGGCGGCCAGAUCGUAGAUGUCGAAGCCGUCCUCGUAGACGGCGACCUCGCGGGCCGGAGUGUACGGCGACGCCGCCGUGGUGGAGAGGGUCCAGGUGCCGGAGGAGCUCCCCUCCUCGAACUCCGACGGUGGCGAAUCAGGAGGCGCGGGUGCGACGGGAGGCGCGGGGGCCGGCACGAGACCGUGGCGGAUGUCGAACUCCUCGGUCUCCCGCCGCAGCAGCGACGCCGGCACCGGGAGGCCCCUCCUCGUCCACUUAUGCGACGACCGCUUCCGCGCGGCGUCGGCGGUGACGCACCUGCGCUGCUCCUGCUGCAGAUGCGGAGGAAGGGCGUCCGUGGCGAGUGAAUCGGGCGGCUGGAGCUACGGAAGGGAUGGGAACGGCGACGACGAAUUCAGCGACGAAGAUGAGGAUUUGGCCCCCGCAAAUGGAAGCCCGAACGGCUUUUAUGCCUACCCCACGUACAUUAGCGGAUUCGCAGAAAACGUUUGCGGACCGGGCUGCAAAUGCGGAGUCUGCUCUGCACAACAAACUGAACCGGCCUACAAACUCGUCGGAACUUUGUUGUUUUCGUGUUUUUGCAGUAUCUUGCUAGAGAUGCUCUAAGGGUGCUAUUAACCCAUCUCGCACUUAAUGGGGUUUCUACAUCAGUACAAAUUAAAUGAGCCGUUGCAUAAAUCCCAGAGUGGAAUCGGAGUUGGCGACGGUGGCCGAGCUACAUCACUAGAUCUGGACGGGCAAUUAGAAAGAAGUUUAACGCUUUUGUAUUUCAUUAAUACAGAUUAUUCUUUCAGUGAAAGACGACAUUUUCAUUAGUAACACCGUGUCUAUGAUGAAUUCAUUAAUCUUUAAACUCGGUGACAAACUCAUCAAUCUUCAAACUCUGUGAAUUUACUCGCCUUGCCCAUUACCAGCUUCCGAUUCGUCAAGGGCUAUCAAUCAUUGAGAAGGUUGCAGCACCUUUGGUUCCCUAAAUUGUUGGGCGCACUGGUGCUCAACUCUUUCUCAUUGAUGGUGAACCUAGCAAGCCACCUCUUCUUUUACUAAUGACGUCUGAUCAUGAUAACAAAAAGCUUAUGGAACUGAUGUGGUCAUAUAGGCAACGGGGGAGCUACGGCAAGGCCGGAUGGGCCAUGGCCCACCUAGAACUGAUGAAAAAUGACCAUUUUAUAGGAAACCCAGCCCACAACAAUGCAUUGGUUUUCAGUUUGAUAGCAAAGUUUGUGGGAAACCCUAUUUAGUGCCACAUGCCUCGAUUACAAGCAAAAUUUGCUAACUGACACCUGCAGCGCUCCGCAAUGGGCCGGCCCAUAUAGAGAUCCUUUCUGAACUUUUUUGAGCCCGUGAACUUUUUUUGAAAUCGGUGAACUUUUUUGAAAAUCGAUGAUUUUUAUUUUGCAAAUUCGUGAACAUUUCUGAAAAUGGAUGAACAUAAUUUAAAAUUCAUGAACUUUUCAAAAUCAGUGAACUAUUUUUAAAAAUUGAUGAACUUUUUAAAAAUCGAUGAUUUUUGUUUUCAAAUUGUAUGAACUUUUUGAAAAUCCAUGAACCCUGCCCCACCUUCACUACCAAUGAUAUGUGCAACUUAGUCUAUUGUUUGAGCCAACUUUCUAUUACUUGAUGUGCAACUUCUUUCCCUUCCUACAUGUGGAUAUAUAGUUUCAGUUGGCAGAGACAACAACCGAAGUUGCACAAAAUCUGUUAGGCAGUUGGUCGGACCAACAUAUAAAGUUGCACAUCUCACGGGCAGGGAUAGUUCGAUGGUGAAAAUCCCAUAUUCUUGAGGGUAGUGAAAAGUUGCAUAUUCAUGAGGGUAGUAAAAUUUACAUAUAAACGGGGUGCUAAAAUUACACAUCCCAUUAGAGGGGUGGUUUCGAGUGUUAGUAGAGAAAUUACACAUCCAUGAGGUAUGAGGGAUAGUUGCACAUCACUGGUAGACAGUUGACGAUGACAGUAUCCGAAGUCGCACAUCCACUUCUAAACAGUUGAUCGAUACAGGAAACAAUGAAAACACAACCACGGACACGAGAAAGUUGCACAUGAACUACUAGGCAGUUGGCCUCGGCAAAACACGAAUUUGAACAUCUCACUAGCAGGACGUAGUUUGGGAUGGAUGUGCCAUCACUGAAAACCACACGUCCAUGAUUAAAGGGAAAACUUACACAUCGACUGUCAAUUAGUUGUACAUCAAUGGCUAAACAGUUGCACCAAGUAGAGAGUAAAUUGCACACAAAAUAUUUUGUCAAAACAUACUCGUGCGUGAUCUAGUUUCAAAGAACACGUCGCAAGGGUUCCAAUGAUGAAAACGAGUAUUUAACCAAAAACUACCAUAAUUUAUGAAACCAUGCCUACAAACUAUCACUUUACGAUUUCCCUAAUCUAUGACUAAAAACUACCAAGUCUGAAAAAUGGUAAUUUUUAGUCAUAGAUUAUGAAAAAAGAUAGUUUUUGGGACAAAAUGGUAAAGUGGUACUUUGCAGGCAUGGUUCCAUGGAUUGUUGUAGUUUUUGUUAAUUACUCGCCUUGUUUAGCUUUUCGACAAUCUUGACGAUUUCAAACGUGGAUAUUUCUCUCCCUUCUGUGAUUUAAUGAGUGGGACUGUCCCUAUUUUUCCUUGCUUAAAUCAGUGAGAGGCAAAACUUUUCCAUUUCUUCUUAAAUAAAAGAAGGAACAGGGAAGAGAUGAAGUUUGAACAUGUCGUUGGCGGUGAGAUUCGCCUCAAAACAUCCAUCAAUUUGAAGGCGAUUUUUGAGAAACCCCUCAAUCAAUUAGGAGAAUCACCUCAGAAUCUCUACCGGUUUGAGGCUUUUGUGAAAAUUUGUCAAGUGCUCGUGUAGAACAGGGGGUCAGCUAGAAGCAAUGCCCGUGUAAAUAGGAGUAUUUAACCAAAAACUAGCACAAUUCAUGAAACCAUGCCUAUAAACUAUCACUUUACGAUUUUAUUCUGAAAAGUACCAUUUUUUUCCUAAUAUGUGACUUAAAACUAUCAUUUUUCAGACUUGAUAGUUUUUAGUCACAGAUUAGGGAAAAAAUGGUAAUUUUUGUGACAAAAUAAUAAAGUGAUAGUUUGUAGGCAUGGUUCCAUGAAUUAUGGUAACUUUUGGUUAAAUACUCGAUGGAAACGGAUCUUAAUUCUGAUGCGCGAUUUAAAAUUUAUGAUUUUUUAAAUUUGAAACUCGAAUUAAGUACGUUCACACCUGUUUAUAUGGAUGCUUUAUAAUAAUUUUGAUAUUUGUUUCAUAUAUGAUUCUUUAACACUAAUUAUUACCCGUUAUAGAUUAGGGAUCAAAAAUUCGCCGGUCAUUCGGGACGACUAGCGAGCAGCCGGUCGCUCGCUAGACCUGACCAAAAUUUAAACGGGUCGGCUCACCAAAUGAAUUUCACUUGACACGAUGCAAAAGUUCGAUUUAGGAUUUAUUUUAGGAAAAAGUCCAUUUUAAACCUUGAAUUUGUAAUGGUCGGGCGGAAUGAACUCCCAAGUCAAAAUCCCGGUCGAUCGUACCCUGAACUAUGUAAUCCCGGUCUAAAUCAAACCCUAGCAAAUUUCAACCGAGAUUCAUCUUAUGGGCCGCCCCGCUUUAGUUUUUUUUUUAUUUAAAAUUUAUUGGGCCGCGCUCCUCGACGCGUGCAACGCGGGCACAAACAUGAACUCCUCGUUCCAUAUCGGUUUAGGCGUCCCAGGCGGCACGACCGGGCGCGUGCGGCGCACCUGCCCGACGAGCCGCAGCUUGACGGAGGCGUUCAUGGGGCGGGACGUAUCGUGGGGCACGAGGUCCUGCGCCCCGAUGGCGGCGACGCGGAGGUACACGAGCUUGGGCGAGAAGUAGACCUUGGCGCGCGUGGAGGCGACGGCCGACAGACUAGCCGCCCCAUGGGCAUCGGAAUGCCAGGCCUCCGAGAAGGCCUCGUCGGCAUGGGUCCCGAGCCAGACGGACAGCAUGAUCUCCCCGCGCUGGAGCUUCUCCCCGCGCUUGCCGUCGAGCCUGUACCACUGGGGCGCCAGCGGGGAGUCCUGCGGCACGCGGACCAGCACCUCGGAGAGGUCGAACACCAUGUGGCCGACGAGGUCGUCGCCGCCGGCAAGAUCCUUGGCCUUGAGGGCGACCUCGAGCAGAUGCGACUGGAGGUGCGUGGCGAAGAAGGCGAAGACCUGGUGCCAGGAAGGGGUGUGGUUGCCGGGCAGGACGACGGUGCUGCCCUUGAAGUUGCCGAGCGGACUCCCCAGGGGCAUAUUGGUCCCAGGUGGACGACGCGGACACAAACGACCAGAAAAAAAAACAGAGAAAUAAAAAUGACAGGAUUUUUUAUUAAUAUGCAUUAAACAUUUUUUUUUAAGUACUCAUGAUUUUUAAACCUAGCCGCUCUACUGCAGCGAAUAUGAAUCACUUAAUGUAGCGAACUAGAAUAAGUUACUGCAGCGAUAUUUUUUGUUUGAUAAAAGUGUGCUUUUUUAAAGUGUACAUUUUUUGAAAAGCUAAAAAAAACAGGGGCUCAGACCGACGGCGACGCCGUAUCCCACCGCCACCAGCACGCCGAAACCGCCGCGUCAUCCGCACGCGCGUCAGUCUCUCGUCGGCCGCCGCACUCCCUCGAUUCGCGCCGUCGGUGCGCGCGGGAUGGCGCCCGCGCUUUGUUCUCCACUUCUCCCUGCCGCUACCACCACCACCACCACCACUCAUAUCUCUGCCUCUCCAGCCACGCCCGUCCCCGGAGCGGCGCCGUCGGCCCACCAGGUACGUUCCGCUCUCACGAUCCGUUUCACAUAGCUCCAUCUCGGCUCCUGCCGUAGCGUUGCCACGGCGUUGGUUGGAAUUUGGGGUCGUGGUUAGGGUGUGCUGCCGGCACUGAAAUCUGCAAUUUGUUACUCGUCCAACUGUCCAAGCGACUCCGAUGCCUGUUGUGCAUGAGCGCAGAGAUCAGGGAUUGGAUUAUUUUACUAUAGAUCAAAUGACAUCCGAAUGUGCCUGGAAUUUGUUUUUGCUGAACCAGGAAUGCACCAGGAAUACAUACAGCAUCUCUGCUCUGCCUAUGGAAAAGGUGGUGUGUCUGAAUUCUUACAUGUCGCUCAAAUGGCAUUCGUUAGCAACCGUCAACAUAUAUAGGGACCCAACCCAGUUUCGGAGAUGGUGGUGUGCCAACUUCGAUUCACUUUGUCUGAAUGAAUGAAGUCUAGAUGUUGGGAGCCUAUUAAUUGUAGGACAAGUCUUGCACUAAACAUAUUUACUCCUCACUGUUUAGUGAAGUGUGCCACUGUUUUGUGUUUAUGCAGGAUUGAACACCACUAAAUCCUUCUUUCCCACCCAAUGUCAAUCGGUAGGGGCUGUCCCGCGUGGCGUUCCUCCAUGGAAGCAUCCAACAGCAACCAAGGACCAGACCAUCUCAUUGUUCUGGUUCAUGGUAUCAUGGCAAGGUAACAGCCAAGCAUUGUAGUUCCACCAUAGCAGUUCAUAAAAAUAGGAUGAGCUGCAUAUUAAAAACACAUUAAUUCCCCGCGGCUCUUUCUCAGGAGCUUAACUUCAUUGUUAUUGGCUACAUGUUUCCUUUCGACUUGGCCUGAAUUUUGGCUUGACUGGUAUGAAAUUACAAUUCAGAACAACCCCAUUGCUCAUUGAUGGUAAUGCUAUUGCCGGCUGCUCUCUUUGAUUUACCUUUUUCAUGAAUUUUAAGAUGCACCCUAACUUUUCAAAGUGUAUAUGUGAACUUCGAUGAGUGAAUCGCAUGGCAUACAUCUGUACUCAACUGUCAAUACUCAAAAUACGCACCUGUAUUUGUAAAAAUAAAUAGUUAAAGCUUUGAAAAAUGCUAAAGGUAUAUUUAUGUUUGAUACAGUUUAUUCAACAACUCUUUAGUCAAGCUGUACUUAUUGGCAUUUCUACUGAUGAUUUUCCCUUCUUCUUCUUUGAAUAUAGCCCCAGUGACUGGAUAUAUGGGGACACAGUGCUGAAAAGGAGGCUAGGUGAUGAUUUCUUCAUCAAUGGUAUGUGUGUAUUUUAACUCUACAUUCAUAUAGCAACUUCAAGUCAAAUAUCACAAACUACUACCUAAUCAUCCUUUUUUUUUUUUUUGCUUCUGAGUAUAAGGAUUUUUAGGAACAUGAUGUGCAGAAAUGGAAUUGUAUGCACAGACGCACACAUAAAAAUUGUAGUUAAGAGAUGAAAUUGGCACCGACUGCAUUACUGCAGCAUGCAGAGGUUUGCAGUUGACAAAAAAUUUAUCAGCCAUAAAAGAGCAAACUUUUUCUUUGCAGCUAGUUCAUCAAACAUCGACGCUAAAACUUUUGACGGGAUCGAUGUAGCUGGAAGGAGGUUAGCGAAAGAAGUAUAUGUGGUAGAGACUAUUCUCUGUUGUUCAUGUAUAUAUUGACUGCUUAGGAAGCUUACAUAAUAAUGCCCUAUGGAAAGAAGGUCUUGGACGUGGUUCAGAAGAUGCCCAGCUUGAACAAGAUUUCCUUCAUAGUACAUUCUUUGGGUGGUGUGUUUGCUAGAUAUGCUAUUUCUAUACUAUAUUCACUGCAAGCAAAAGAAACGGGAAGCGGUGUUGGUGUCAUGCCGACAGUUAGAGGAUCUGAAAUGUCACACACUUCAGGAAUAGUGUCUUUCAAUGGUAACAAAUCAUCGAAGGCAUGAAACGAAUUUGUGUCUUUAUUAAACAGGGCAUCUCUGUGUGUGUGUGUGUGUGUGUCUGAACAAUGCAUCUCUCUUUUUAUGCAUAUGUAAUCACGUUAGAUAGAUCGAUUAUGCCACCAGAUCCGUUCUUACCGCCAAACAACUCAGUUGCUAGCGGACUGAUUUACAGGUUAACUAUUGCCCAGAGACGGGUGAUGCAUCGUGAAUCGGGUUAAAAACUCAAAAGUAGUGCUCUAAUCCAUCGAGGUUAAGGCAAGCAUCAUGCACUUUUAGGCGUGCGGACAAGCGCUGCAAGCCCCAAUGCCUGCUUGCACGUUACUUGAUUCUUUGAUUGAUUCCAUGAACCUUUUGGGAGCAACACAACACACGCGAUGAAGCCAAAUUAACACACGCGCAUUGGGUGAACGGCCUCACGUGUCGUACACGCAUAACCACGUACGUGCACGUGACGACUAACAGCUUUAGACUCGAUGCAUGCAUCGGCGUGUUUGAAAUCACCCAAACGAGUAGAGUGUUGAGUGACUGCAAAUCGUAUCCAGAGAGUAUAGUAGAGUACUUGCUGCUUCUUUUCUUGGUGAGUACUUGCUGCUUCUUUUCUUGGUCUCUGGAUCUCUGCGGCGACUACGGUGGCCUUUUCCCAAUCUGCGAUGCCGACAGCGCCGAAGGUACUCUUCAACCCGUCCUUCUCCUCCUCUUCUGUUGAAUACAUUUGCUUCAGCAUCCUUUCUUCUGGUUUUGAUGUGGACCGAUCCAUGAUGUGCAGAUGCUCUUCUUCAACGUGUGCUCUUGAAUCUUGAUUGAGCCAAGCGAGGUGAUGAUGCUUUUGCUCCAACUGUUACCCCUCGAUGUUCUCUUGUUGCUAUUCCAUUUAUUUUGGAUUGUAAUGCAUUCGUGAGCUGUUGCUUUCAAGAACUGAAAAUAUCCAGCUUUUGCUCAUUCGGUGGUUCCUUCUCUGAAAACAAUUUGUAUCUUGUAGCUGUCUCAUGUUCCUCCUCUAUCUACAACCUUUUUUUGUAUGACAUUUGCUGCUUCUGAUGAUGUGAAUUUAUGAUGUGCAGAACCGGAUUCAUCUUUGGUAACUGUUGCAAAGGACGACUCCACAAAUUGGAUCUGGAGAGAUGCUAUUCAGGGUAGGUACCCUCCUUCUACUUCUGCUUUGGAUAGCUAAAGUAUGCACUGCAUAAGUGCAUAUGCUCCCUGUGUAUACUGCUACUUUCACCAGCCAGUCAGGUUGAAGUUUUGCUCCUUCUGCCUUCUGAAAACCAUUUUGUUUGGAUUGCAGAGUUUCAACCCAAGGGCAAUGCUAUAGCGGUGUGUUGAUCUAGAGAAAACACAAAUAAAGGUCGAGAUAUGGAGGUUGCUGCUGGGGCCAUGGGCCCUGUCAUCCGUAAGCUCGGUGAGCUGCUCGUCCGAGAAUGCAAUCUGAAGAAGCGAGUAAAGAAAGGCGUCCAAUCGCUCCUAACAGAGCUGGAGAUAAUGCACGCCGUACUUCGCAAGGUUGGCGAGGUGCCGUCAGACCAGCUUGAGGAGCCGGUUCGGAUUUGGGCUGGAAAGGUGAGAGACCUCUCUUGCGACAUGGAAGACGCUGUUGACGACUUUCUGGUGCGUGUGGAUGAGGGCUCAAGCAGCAAGCCAACGGACAUGAGGAGUCGAGUCAAAAAGUUCCUCAAGAAGACCACCACAUUGUUUGGCAAGGGUAAAGCACUUCAUCAAAUCUGUGAUGCCAUCGAAGAAGCUCAAGAUGUGUAGCACUUGACAUGUGUAAAAAAUACGAGUUGGCGGACCUGCGUAAAAAAUACGAGUUAGCUCAAGAUGUGUAGCUCAUCAAAUCAAGAAGGCCCAGGAGUUGGCGGACCUGCGUAAAAAAUACGAGCUUGACAUGUGUAGCACUAGCAAUGGUGCUACCAUUGACCCACGUGUGUUAGCUUUGCACAAACAUGUAGGGGAGCUUGUAGGCAUUGAACACACAAGGAAUGAGCUUGUCAAAACACUGAUUUGUGAAGACGGGACUUCCGAGGAGCAACUAAAGACAAUCUCUAUAGUUGGUGUUGGUGGGUUGGGCAAGACAACCCUAACCAAAGCAGUUUAUGAGAAGAUUAAAGCCCAAUUUGAUUGUGCGGCUUUUGUCCCUGUGGGUCAGAAACCAGAUAUCCGAAAAGUUUUCAAGGACUUGCUCUAUGGCCUUGACAAAGAAAAGUUCAAGGACAUUCAUAAUACAACAAAGGGUGAAAAUCUACUCAUUGAGGAUAUCAGCGAAUUUCUUGUUGAUAAGAGGUAUAUGCAUCACGUAGUGCUUGCCUUUUUCUGUACAUUUCCGAAAUGUGUGAAGUAGUCAGAUGCAUACUGAAUUUCAUAUCAAAUUCUACUUAUUUCUUUUUUGUGCACUCGUCUUAUUUUAGUUAGCCUUGUAGACUUGUAAGCAUUUUUUGUUGCAUUCCUUAAUAUUUCUGUAUGAUAUCCUCAAUGGUUAUAUAACUCAUGUGGUUUGUUUUAAUACUUAUAGUUUAUCCUUGUUACAAAAUUCAGUUCUAUGUAUAUAUGACUUGCCAACUAAUGCUAUCAAAAUAAUUUGCAUAGGUACCUCAUCGUAAUCGAUGAUAUAUGGGAAAAAGACAUAUGGAAAUAUAUAGAUUGUGCUCUCUAUAAAAAUAAACUCCAGAGUCGGGUAAUCACAACAACCCGCAAUGUGAGUGUGUCCGAAGCAUGUCUCUCUUCCACUAAUGGCACAAUUCACAGAAUGAAACAUCUUUCUGAUGAAGACUCCCAAAUACUCUUUCAUAAAAGAAUAUUUCAAAGCGAGGAGAAAUGUCCAGAAGAUUUGCAGAUAGUAUCAAGAGAUAUCUUGAAGAAAUGUGGUGGUGUACCAUUGGCCAUCAUUACAAUAGCUAGCCUUCUGGCUAGUAAUCAGCAGGUAAAGCCGAACCAUGAGUGGGUGGAUGUGUACAAUUCGAUGGGUCGUGGAGUUACACAGAGUGAUACUGCUAAGGACAUGAAGAUGAUAUUAUCACUCAGCUAUUAUGAUUUGCCUCCUCAUUUGAAGAGUUGUUUAUUAUAUCUAAGCAUCUUUCCUGAAGACUUUGUGAUUAAGAGAGUUUCAUUGAUACGGAGGUGGGUUGCCGAAGGUUUUAUCCAGCGUGACAAAAAAGAAACCAGCCUAUUUGAGAUCGGAGAGAGAUACUUCAACGAGCUUAUGAACAGGAGCUUGAUCCAGCCAGCAGAAAUCAAUGUGGAAGGCACGGUAGUAACUUUCCGCAUACAUGAUAUGGUGCUUGACCUUAUCUGCUCACUGUCAACUGAAGAGAAUUUUAUCGAUGUACUGGAUAAUGUUGAGUGGCAUGCACCUAAUCUGCAAAGGAAAUUUCGCAGGUUAUCACUUCAUAAUAUCAAUGCAAAGGUUCAGAACCAUCAGUUUGGUAGCACUAACCUGUCAAAAGUGAGGACAUUUGCUGUUUUUUCUUCCAUUGCUUGUGAUUGGUUGCCACCUCUCUCAAGCUUCAAAUUUUUACGUGUGUUGGAUCUUGAAAAUUGUGACAGACGUGAAAUUAGCUCUGGUAUAAGCCUCAAGUAUGUAGGGAGUUUAAUUCAUCUAAGGUACCUAGGGCUAAGGAAUGCUGAUGUUCAGGAACUCCCAUUGGACAUAGGCAAAUUGCAGCUUUUGCAGACACUGGAUAUAAGAGGCACUAGUAUAGAAGAAUUACCUGCAAGUGUUGUUCAGCUCACAAAUUUGAUAUGCCUACGUGUCGACAAGUACUUGGUGCUGCCAAGAGGAAUGGGGAACUUGAUGUCCCUCGAAGUGCUCGGCUUGGUAGGAUUAUGCCCAUCUCCUCACAUUGCGAAAGAGCUGAGUCAUCUGACAGAGCUUAGGACAUUCAGUAUUAACUGUGUCUGUGUUAACAUGGACGGGGGUCUGAUUGAUAUAUUAAUCAAGUCUCUAGGCAACCUGCAGAAAUUGCAUAAUCUGUGUAUUGAUUAUGGUGGCAGAUUGAUAGAUCGAAUGCGUGAAAGCUGGGUGCCCCCUCCNNNNNNNNNNAUGGUUACUCUGAAACUGCGUGGUUCUCGAUACUUCCAAAGUGGGUUAACUCAACGUCGCUUCCCUACCUCUCCACCCUGAUCAUAGAAGUGAAAGAACUGCAAGGGGAUGACCUUCAGAUCAUUGGGAUGCUGCCUGCUCUUCGGCUUCUGCACCUACGUGCAAGUCACGUGAUGGGAACGUUGGUUGUGAGGGCCGAUGCAUUCCCAUAUGCGAGAUGCUGCUUGUUCAAUGAGUUUCUGACUUCGCCGUGCCUUUUUCCACCUGGAGCUAUGCCAAGGGUUCACCGCCUUGUGUUCAAGGUCUCUGCACGAUCGAUCGCGAGUGGUGAGGUUGACUGCGACAUGGGCCACCUUCCUUCUCUCGAGCAUGUCGGGGUUAUUCUGCAGCGUGAUGAUUCCAGCAAUAACGAGUUGGAGACAGCCAAGGCUUGGCUGACGCGCGCAGCAGAGGCUCAUCCAAAGCGUCCCUCCAUUGUAAUAUAUGUAUUAGACACGAGUGCUGACGUGCCUCUGCCGGUAAGGUAAUGUUCACCUGAGCAACCAUGAAUUCUCUUUUCCUGAAUAUGCUCGUUAUCAUACUGUUUGAUUCAUCCCUCUUACUUUCUCAAUUUCAGGCCUUGAAUAAAAUAUUGGAGUCAGAAAGGUACUAAUAAUUCCAUGAGUUGCGGCAAGGCUCAUUCCCUCCAACGUAUGUUCAGAUUCUGCACUUCGCUAGACGAAAGGCUUCCGCAUGAUUGUUCAUGAUCAACUAUUUAUUUCUCCUGCAUUUGCUUUCAGAAGCGCAGCACCUCCUUUCCUUUAUUAUUCACUCAAGACUCGUACAAUAAAAGGCUGCAUUCAGUUGGCACUGUUUGUAGCAGUACUGCCUCUACCUUUAUUUGCUUGUUCACAUACAUCAUUGUUUUGUUUUUACUGGCUUAUUAAUGAAGAGCUGAUUGAACUCCUGUUGGCUUGUUUUGCUUUGCAUGGCACUUAUUUAGUCAAGGCUCGUGGAAUGAAAGGCAUUGGUUGAACUUGUAAGAAUUAAUCUAGUUGUAGUGUUAGGUAUAGUCACGUAUUAGUCUAGUCCUAAUACUAGUCCUUUUAUUUUCAUGUUUGUAAACCGGGCUCGUGUACGAGUCAGGAUCACGUCGUGUUGGCUGCUGAGUCCGGCAGCGCGUUGGGCGUGGCUAGUAUGUAUCCUUUAUAUAAGGAAUAAUAAGAAAAGGUGUAAGUUUACGCACCAUAAAAACAGUUUUUCAUCGACGAUCGAUCAGAGUUCGAUUCGAUCCAGCGCGGUCGAGCUAGCUUCUACCAGGUCGCGUCGCGUAAGUUGCAUGCAAAAUCCAUCAAGCUCCUAGCUUGCUUGAUCGUUAGCUUUGCUGCACAUACAUGUCGUAGCUUGCUUGAUCGUUAGCUUUGCUGCACAUCGUUAGCUUUGCUGCACAUACAUGUCGUAGCUGGAAGUUUUUAUCUAGCGAUCCAAAGCCAACAAAUGAUAUCUAGAGCCUCGACGAUCUACGAUUUACGAUGACGGACAACGACAUUGAGUCGGUCAAGUCCGACAAUGGCGGUUUCAAGAUGAACAAGAGCAGCGAUAAGGUGAAGAAGAGCGGCAAAUCAGCAACCAGUGGUGGAGGAACGAGCGGGCCAACGUUCAACCGUAUCGCAACAUCCCCAUCCAGUACUAGAUGUUCACCGACGCCAACUACGACGUGUGGGCGGUGAAGGUGAAGAUUAUUCUUUGAUCCCUUCGAGUGUGGGAGGCCAUCAUGGACGACGACGUCAACGAGGAGCGCGACGAAGGUGCCAUGGUCUCCAUAGCCCAGUCCGUGCCGGAUUCCAUGCUGAUGACAUUGGCGGAGUUCGAGACAGCAAUAGAGGCGUGGAACACCCUCAAGGAGAUGAGGAUUGGAGAAGAUCGCGUCACCAAGGCUCGGGCACAAGUGCUUAAGUGCCAAUUUCACAAGCUGAAGAUGGAUUAAACUGAAUCGGUGAACGACUAUGCCAUGCGUCUUACUACUUUGGUGGGAGAGAUCCGUGCGCUUGGUGCAAAGCUCGAUGAGACCGAGAUCGUGGAGAAAUUUUUCAGUUCGGUGACUGAUAAAUUCAUGUACAUCAUCGGCACGCUCGAGCAGCUUUACGACAUCGACGACAUGAAUAUAACGGAGCGCGAUCGACGCUUGCGGACAUAGGAAGAGAAUGCUCGCGACUGUCAGAAAGGCAAAGGAGGAGGUAGUGACCAACUCAUGUACUCGCGCGCAGAUUGGAAGGUCCCAAGUAGCAAAGAAAGGCGUGACGGUGGCGAAGGCUCAAGCAACACGAAGCGCGACGGACAAACCGGAAAAGGAAAACCACAAGGUCGUGGUAAGGCGAACCAAUCUAAAGAGCGGAAGCCACAGAACUUGGACUUGUCCAAGGUCAAGUGCUAUAACUGCAAUGAGAUGGGUCCCUUUGUGGAGGAUUGUCCGAAGCCUAACAAGCGGGAGAUCAAGGAAAAUUUGUCAAUACAGGAAGGCGAAGGUCCAGGUCUUCUGAUGGCCGAAGUUUGCAAUCUCGAUGUAACAGUGGUUAUGAAACCAAGCCGGAAGGUUCUACUUCAUGAGAAGAAAGUGACACCAAAGCUAUCCGGGGAUCACAAUGUGUCGUGGUAUCUUGACACGGGUGCCAGUAACCACAUGACGGGGUGCAAAGAGAAAUUCCUCGAGCUGGAAUAAGAUGUUGAAGGCUCGGUCAAGGUCGGUGAUGGUUCAGCUAUGGAGAUUUGCGGGCAAGGAUCUGCCCUCUUCGAGGGUCUCACAAGCGGAUAUCGCAUAUUCACCGGAGUGUACUACAUCCGACGGCUUCGCAACAACAUCAUCUCUAUUUGGAAGCUUGAUGAGAAUGGAUGAAAGGUGGAUAUCGAGAACGGAGUGAUGACGAUCUUCAACAACCUCCGAAACGUGCUAGCUCGUGUUAAUCGCACACGGAAUAGGCUAUAUAUCCUCUACCUUGAUCAAUCUCAACCAGAGUGUUGGCUCGCCAAGAGUGAUGAUGAUUCGUGGUUAUGGCAAGCUAGAUUUGGACACGUUAACUUCCACAGCUUGAAGAAGAUGUCAAAGAUGGAGAUGGUAUCCGGGAUGCCAUUUAUCAACCAUGUUGAUCGAGUAUUUAACGGGUUCUUGUUUGGAAAACAACACCGCAGGCCGUUCCCUGCUCGGUCCACCUAUCGUGCAAAAGAUGCACUCGAGCUGCUCCAUGGUGAUCUAUGUGACCCUAUCACCCCGGCAACUCACGCGGGAAAGAAGCAUUUCUUCCUUGUGGUAGAUUACUACUCGAGAUAUAUGUGGGUAGUUCUCCUACGAUCUAAAGAUGAGGUGUUUGAAGCGUUUAAGAAGCUGAAGUCUGCAACGCAGAUGGAAGAAAAGCUGAAGGUUCGCGCUCUACGGACAGAUCGCGGCGGAGAGUUUAGGUCGAACGAGUUCAACGACUACUGCGAGAAGAUUAGCAUAAAAAGGUUCCUCACGGCACCUUACACGCCACAACAGAACGGGGUCGUUGAAAGGCGCAAUCGAACCAUGGUUGACAUGGCAAGGAGUUUCUCAAGAGCAAGAACCUACCGGGGACUUUUUGGGGAGAAGUUGUCUCAACGACGGUCUAUCUUCUCAACCGGGCUCCAACAAAGGCGGUGAUCGGCAAGACUCUGUAUGAAUCAAUUUACGGACGUAAGCCGAAUGUGUCUCAUCUACGGACGUUCGGGUGCGUGGCACAUGUGAAGACGGCAGAGCCGGAUCCCUCAAAGCUUGCCGAUCGUAGCACCAAGAUGGUGUUCAUUGGAUACGAGAGGAGUUCCGGCACCAAGGCAUACCGCUUCUGCAAUCCACAAACCAAGCGUCUAUGGAUUUCACGCGACGUCGUGUUUGAAUAAAAACCAAUCAUGGAAUUGGAGUGCCGCAACCGACAAUGCUCCAAACGGUAACAUAUUCAUGGUUGAAUUUCCAACUGAUGAUGAUGCAGGGGAGGAUGUCCAGGUGGUCGGCAAGACGCCCAACCAAGGUAACCACCAUGGUAGUGAUCAUCAUGGUGCCGACACCGACGACAACGCGCAUAGGUCGCAAGGAGAGAGCGACAACGACGCACAUGACACGGGCAGAGAUCUCGACGACAACAUCGACAACGAAGCAAAUAGUGACGACGACAAUCAAGAUGAUGGUCACGGUCACGACGACUACGCCGACGACGCGGAUGUCGAUGACACACCCGGGACUCAGCCAUCUUCCUCAAGUGUAUCAACACCAGCACAAUUUGUGCCGCCUCCUUCGGAAGCCACAACAGACUCCUCAGGGCCUCGUCGCUACAAGACCCUCAAGAAAGUCUACAAGUACACAAAGCCAGUUACACUUGAGUACUCCGGACUAUGUCUGCUCGGAGUUGAGGAGCCAGCGAACUUCGUAGAGGCGAGAAAAAGUCCUAGCUCGACGCACGCCAUGGAUGAGGAGAUGAAUGCGAUUGAGAGCAAUGGCACAUAGACUUUGGUAACCCGACCUCCAAACCAAAAGGCGAUAGGUUUGAAGUGGAUUUACAAGUUAAAGAAGGACACAGAGGAUGCCAUUGUGAUGUACAAGGCAAGACUCAUUGCAAAGGGCUGCGUACAACGUCAAGGAGUUGACUAUGAUGAGGUGUUUGCACCGGUUGCUCGACUCGAGACGGUGAGAGUUCUCCUAGCCUUGGCAGCACAAGAGGAUUGGAAGGUUCAUCAUAUGGAUGUUGAAUCCGCUUUCCUCAAUGGAGAUCUCACAAAAGAAGUGUACGUGGAACAACUCCUCGGCUACGAGAAGAAAGGUGAAGAAGGGAAAGUUUACAAGCUCAAGAAGGCACUUUACGGGUUGAAGCAAGCGUCAAGAGCUUGGAACUCAAAGUUAGACCAAAGUUUGGUCUCGCUCGGGUUCAAGAAAUGUCCCCUCGAGCACGCUGUCUCUACAAAGAACUCCAAAGGCUCAAACCUGCUAGUUGGAUUUUAUGUCGACGAUCUGAUUAACACCGGAGAUAGCGUACAAGAAAUUGAACGUUUCAAGGAACAAAUGAAGAACAAGUUUAGCAUGAGUGAUCUGGGAUUACUCAGCUAUUACUUGGACAUCGAAGUGCAGCAAAGCUCCGGAGAGAUUUCCCUAUGUCGAUCGGCCUACGCGGUCAAGUUAUUGGACAAGUGUGGCAUGUCAGAUUGCUACGAGACACAAGUUUCAGUGGACCAACAUCACAAGUUGAGCAAGCGUAGCUCAAAUCCGUCGGUGACACUACAAUGUAUCGAAGCGUUGUGGGCAGCCUAAGAUACUUGGUGCAUACCCGACAUGACUUGGCUUAUUCGGUCGGGAUCGUGAGUCGUUUCAUGGAGAAUCCGACAACCGAACAAAUGAGCGUGGUCAAUCAAAUCCUAUGCUAUGUGAAAGGCACUAUUAAUCUUGGCUGCACCUACAGAAAGAGAAAGGAAGGAUUGGUCCUUCGUGGAUAUUCAGAUAGCGACAUGGCAGGUGAUGUUGAUGACCGAAAGAGCACAACAGGCAUGGUUUUCUUCCUUGGUCCGAAUCCUAUUAGCUGGAAUUCUCUGAAGCAAAAGGUGGUGGCACUGUCUUCAUGCGAGGCAGAAUACAUAGCUGCAAGCACGGCGGCUUGUCAAGCAGUGUGGCCGAGAAGACUCCUAGCUAUUCUUGCUAAGCGGGAGGUGCAGAAGGUGUCAUUGAAGAUCGACAACCAAGCUGCAAUUUUAUUGUGCAAAAAUCCGGUUCAUCACGAAAGGAGCAAGCACAUAGAUACCCGGUUCCACCACAUCCGGAAGUGCAUUGAAGAAGGGAUGAUCGAGGUUCAACAUGUGAACACGAAAGACCAGCUUGCCGAUAUUUUCACCAAAUCUCUCGGUCGACAGAAGUUCAUCAAGAUGAGGAAGAAAGUCGGAGUGCAGGCAAUGGAAACAAAACAACCGGAUUAAGGAGGUGAAUGUAAGAAUUAAUCUAGUUGUAGUUCUAGUAUUAGAUAUAGUCAUGUACUAGCAAAAGGGCCCGUGCGUUGCAACGGGAGAAAAAAAUACCACACGCUUUUAAUCUUUUUUAUAAUUAUUUUGAUUUAUUAAAAUAAUAAGCUAACUAACUAAUGUAGUCAGUCCUAUCCUAUUUUGUUGAGAAAUCAACCCAUUCAUUGUUAAUUCGAUGUGGAAAUUGAGCGGGACAAGCAAAGCUAAACAAAGAGGCUACGUGAAUUGAUCAAUGGACUGUUAUCUUAUUUCACUCAUGGGGUAGAGAAUGUGGGAUCAGAUGACAAACUGAAGGUGGUGUUCCAUUCUCUGUCUCUACAACAAUACAAUCUUACAUUCAAUACAUUCAUUCAUCAGCAAACAAAUCCCCACAAAACAAAAUUUCUUGCCGGUGCACACGGUUGGAGGCAUGGGGAGGGGAUCUCACCAGAUGAUGAGUUCCUGUCAGAGGAGGGGAUACGAUGAGGGGAGCAAGGGUUAGGCGCCUCUAUCUGGCCAUAAGGAGUCGCUGUUGUCGCGCCAUAACCUCGGAGUUCCCUGUGUGAGCCAUGGAGGCCCGCCUCCACCUGCAAGUACUUCGCUCCGCCGCGCCACCGCCGUUUUGCAUCGAGCAGACGCAUCAUCCCGAGUCGCUGUAGUUGUCGCGUUGAUUUGAUUCAGAAGUUGUGCUCGAGCGCCGAAACGGGGGCAGCAAGCGGGCAGAGGUACGGCCGUGGAGGCAGAUGGAUUGAGAUCGACAACAAUGGUGGUUGAGGUCGGCCGCGACAGCGAGUGAUGUGGCAGCGGCCUGGGCACACGCCAGGGUGGACCAGGGUCGACGCGAUGCGCUCGAGCGCCGCAACGGGGGCAGUGAGCGAGGAGAGGUACUGCCGCGGAGGCGGGUGGGUUGAGAUCGGCAACGGUGGCGGUUGAGGUCGGCCGCGGCGGCGAGUGGUGUGGCGGCGGCCUGGGCACAGGUUAGGGUGGCCCAGGGUCGACGGGAGGAGGCGAUGCGUACGGGUAUAAUUUUUGCAGCGAAUCGUUUUUUCCUUUUGUGUUGUAGAUAAAUAAUGAAGCGCGGGUUGAAUAACAAAAAUUACAGGGGCUUUUUUAUAAAAAUGUCGCGGUGGGUUUUUCGACGGAAGCGAUAGCCUCUUUAUUAUUAUGUAUAGAUAUAGAUAUAGAUUAGUCUAGUCCUAAUACUAGUCCUUUUGUUUUCACGUUUAUAAACCGGACUACGAGUCGGGAUCACGUCGUGUUGGGUGCCGAGUCCGGCAGCGCGGUGGGCGUGGCUAAUCUGUAUCUCUCCCUAAUAAUAAAGCACGCAGUGCUUCUUCCGUCCGUCGUCGGCACUUUUGCACAAAAGUCCCUUUGUUUUUGGGUAUUCAACCCGCAGUCCUCAUGGAGUCAACCUGAACAGUUACAACGACCGAAGAGAAAAAACACCCACGCUCCCACAACCCUAAUCGCAUCUCCAACCACCAGCGUGUUGCCGGCCUCCGCCACGCCGCCGCGUGCCGCCACUGCCCACCUCGCCGACGCUCCUACCCCUUCCUCCCUCCUUCUGCCCUUCUGUCGCGGACGACGCCACGCCCUGCAGCUCCAUAGAUACGUCCUCGACCCUGACCGACUUCUGUGAGCCUGAUGGGAUCUCGGUGGCCACCAUACCUCGCACUACUGAUGUGUCACCAUUGAGGCCAUGGCUCGUGGGGGCUAGGUCGUUGUCGAUCUGUUCCUCUGGGUUGACGACGUCCUUCAUCCAUGGUCAGAUGUGCUCGUGGCCGUCCACAUGAGGAUAAUGGUCUGGCCGUGCUCCACGACAACUAGCACCAAGCGAGGGAGCGUUGUGCUGGUCUCCUCUCCUGUGACCUCAAGUCAGACCACCACCACGACCAGACUUGGUCCUGCAUAGGUAAGGAACUUUGUCUACAGAUUGCUUCAACACUUUUGUGACCACACCGUAGAGCUUAAUAAGUUAGUAUAUGCAAGUUCUGUACUUUGUGGUUGUAUCAGCCAGCGUAGUGAAUUGGAUGUUUCAGACAAUUACCCAUACCACUCAAACUCACUAUGUGGAUCCUUUUUUUGUUUUUCCCCCUAUGAAUCUAGAUCUGACCUUGCGCAUGUUGUUCAGGGUGUAAAAAAGGAACAUUGGGAUAUCACUGAAUACACGAGUAUGAUAUCCAUAUCAUUUCCAGCAAAGAAUUCUAGAGAUAUUUAGUUGCUGCACAACCAGUAUGCCUUUAUAUAUAUGUGUUAACAAAUAAUUGGAGGAUGAAAAUAUCGCUAGAACCAGUAUGAAAAAUUGACCUCUCGAAACAUGAAAGCAGUGGCUUACUUCAGCAGGCAAGCUUAAGAGAUGGUUCAAAAUUAACAGCUUAGUUCACAAAUAUGGCUCAUUAUUUCCAUCUCAGAGGUUGUCAUGUUGAUUACAUCUGGGUGUGCGCACAGUGCUCAUGUUGAAUUAAAACAUAGGCCCCUCUUUCAAUGUCUAAAGAUUGGUCGUCUCAUAAUGGUGUGUUAGAGGGAGAAAUUCAGCUCCAUAACCUGAACGUAAUUACCAUCAUUCAUGUUCCCUCCUACCCACUUCUGAUCAUAUUUACUUCUAUGUGCUGGCAUAUUCUAUAGAAGUUCCCCUUUUUUCCCUUGUCAGUAAAUUAUCAGAAAUCUAGACUCACAGGCAAAUGAAUUGCUUGAUUCAGUGCUUUGCCAGAUCAACAAUAGAAUCGUUCUAAGUAGCACAUGUCCAUACGUUUUUUAAUAAUGGUGCAGGUGAGAUAUACUCGAAGGCAUGAAGAUAGGUACUGUUAAUAGGACAUUCAUUGCAAUUGUUUUUUAGUUUGAUAUAUCUCCACAAUUAUUCUUAUAAUCCUAAGAACCUACUUCUUCCCAUUAAUAAUUUGUGAACCUUGUACUGGCAACAACGGUUGUGUGCAUUUAUCGAAUACAUAGGCCCUAUGAUCUUCUUGACUUAUCUGAAAAAUGUUAUUCGACAUUUCAGGCCUUGGAUUACUGUCAGCUAGGAGAUGAAGUUGAGAGCAAGGAGUUAAAACUUGAUUCGCCAGGUUUGCUCUAUAUUGUACCAUACACUUCAUAUUCUGGUAGUCUUGCUUCUUCUGAAAUUACUAAAAUUCUAAAUUACCUUCGAAGUGGUAGAGAAGGGAGAAAACUGUUUGUAAGGAGAAUCUAUAGAAACAUUAAAUGCAACUAAAUUGCUUCUCUCAUUUUGUAGGCUAUUAGGGCGUAGCAGAUCAUGUGUUGCUAUCGCAACUUUCGAAAAUAUUAUGGAAAUCCAUGUAACUAUGAUUCAUCAGAGUCUAAUUGACAUGGCUCAUGAAAAUUACAAAUUUAUUGUGUGAUGUAAACUUAGAACUCGUUUGCUAUAUCGUUUGAUUGUCUCCCUCCCCUGCUCAAUGUCCCCUCCGCCCUGCACGGUAUGUUUAGAACUACGAGUAUUGGAUGGUCGCAAGUCCACAAUGUGUAUUUUGAAUGUAGUAUGCAGUAUGUAGGGGCGGUUGUAAUCAGUUCUCGAUGGUAGCUUGGGUACGAACUUCUGGUCUAAUUACUAUGUGCUUGACGCUGAUUUUAAUUUCCUGGAUAAAUUAUAUAAUUGAGUCGUUUGUGAUUUUUUGGUUUAGAGUGCCUUCCUAACAAAUAAACUUAUUGUUCAUACUUUGGAUAUCAUGUAAGCUUCUAUGAUCUUUGAACGAACACUCCAUUUCUCAUAAUACAAAUCAAUUCUGAAUCCUAUAAGCUUCUCUAAUCUUUGAAUGAAUUCUCCCCUUUAUGUUGAGCUAGCUUGUCGAUAAGGUAUAAGAUGAUAUUCAAGACUAUUGCUGGAUGAUCAACUCAUUUGGAUUAACUUUAAAAAAUGAGAGUAUUGUUGGUUAAACAUUUGAUUUAAAUUGACUUCUAAAAAGGGGAUUGUAUACAUCAGCUGGUGCUAUUUUUUAGAAAAGAAGGGUGUAUGCAUGUUUGGGGUUAUUAAAAAUGUAACACAAGUCCUUUGGUAUUACCUAGAGCUAAGAUAUGUAAGUAGAUUGUAUUUUCGUUUGUUGAGGUCAUGAGAAAAAUUUGGAACAUCACAUUGUAAUUAUGGAAUCAUUCACGCAUCAUGCUAUGGAUGAGCCUAUUCUUUUCAGUGAAAGUAUUGUGUGUUAUGAGAUUGUUAAUCUAUAGUUACGUCUUAUUUCUGAUAUUAACUAUGAAUGAAAUGCAAGGUUCUAACCUGCUAUGAUAUUUUUUGUUGCAGUGAUAACAAGUGAUUUACUGCUUUGAUAUUAAACUAAUAUAAUUAUUCUGAACUGACAUUGCAUCCGCUAUACAAAAGACACAAGUUGUUGGAUUGAAAAGCAUAGUGUUAGUUAGUGCUAUGAUUUUUGUCUAUUUUUUUCCAUUUUGAAAUAUUUUCCGCUCUACAAAACUAUUAAUCCAUUACUUGGUUUAUAUGUUAUCUAACAGCUUCAUCAUUUUUCUUUAGCAGUUGCACCAGAAUAUUGACCAACUAGAGUAUAUGUACUCCUAAUGCUCUCUCUUAAAAUACUGAAGUCCUCAUGAGUACCUGAUGCUUUUAAUUUAUGCAAUUAUGUAGGUCUUAUUGUAGGCAUGCGCUUCUGUGCCGUGAAACUUCUAAUCGCCUUCAUCAUUGCCAUAGUUUGUAUGGUGUGCCAAAGGAAAAGUUGCCGUCAACGACAAUGCCACGGAUGGUGAGGGUCCAACAAAGUGAUGGUUGGCAUGCAAGAGUACUGAUUGCUUCCAGCAUUAGAUUAGAAACAAAUGCAUAUGAUGUUGCACUAUAAGUUAGAAGAUAUUGGUAAAGAUAUAUAUUACUUUCUUAAAAUGUGUAAAUAGACCAGCUAUGUAUAUGCUCAAUUAUAAAUUAUAUGUUGUAUUGAAUGUUCUAAAUUUUGGUCAAUACGUGAGCGAUGGUCAGACUGAAGGGAAGAAUUAGUUGAUUCAUUUAAAUAUAUGCUCGUCCUAAUUUGAUGAGCAAUAAAAUUUCAGUUUAAGGUUAUACAUGCAUUGCAUAUCAUGAACUAACUAGAGGAGCCGAGCUGGAUUUGCAGGGUGUGCUCCAUUGACCAGUUCUUCUGCUCUACCGGAUGAUAGUAUGUAAAGGAAUGAGUAGCUACUUUGCAUCAGGAGAAAAAGGAACACAUAUAUAUUUUACUUGAUUUUCUUUCAUGUUGGCCUUAACUAACAAACAUGUUUCCAUUCCAUCUUUGUCAUGGGAUGAGAACCAUACAAAACAUAGGCUAUUGAGCUGUAUUGCCAUGUCUGUUUACACACUCUGAAUUGAGCAAUGCUACAUCUACAUGGUAUUACACGGAAGAAAGGUUUACAUGGUGAUGAGGCAUUUUUUUCAUUGGUCAGUUUUGGGGGCAUGGGCCCACCCCUGAAAUUCACGGGGCGGAGGUUUGGUUAGAAGAGAAGGGAGUUCCGUAACCUUCCAUUAAUUAUCCGUGGGUGUAGGAUUAUUGCUCUGAAUUUUACUUAAGAGUGAACCUAAAAGGUUGUACCUUUCUACAUUGUGCUAGCUUCUACACAUGAUCUGAAUUUCGUGGGGGCACGGGCACCUAAGUGUUGUUAUUAGUAGUUUGACUUAUCUAUCAAUAAAAUGUCGGGAUGACCUACAUUCUGAUAAUUGUAGCAUCCUGUGUACAAAUAUUAAAUGUUUUUGAAUGGUUCUUUUCAUUGAGCGUCUGGUCUCCAUCAUGGUCUCCUUGAUCACAGGAUCUGCUCCUUCACCACGCCUGCUCAUGUUUCCAUGAGGACACAAGGAGACAUAGUGGUGGCUACUAGCAGCGUCAGAAGGAGUGUGCAUUCAAGCAUGAUGUUGCCCGAAGUUCAUCUUUUUAUAAACAUAGGGUUCCUCUUUCUUGCACAAGUUACUCCUUAAUUGUUGAUUUGAUUUGUAGUAUUUACAUGGUAUUAAUGCAAUUUGAUUAACUUUAAUUGUUUUGUGUUGGACUUUAUAAUUUUUGUGAGUUUUUGUUGUUCACCCGUUGCAACGCACGGACACUUUUACUAGUCCUAUAUAUAAGGAAUAAUCAGAAAAGGUGCGAGUUUAUCGCACCAUAAAAACAGUUUUCCAUUGACGUCCGAUCAGAGACCGAUUCGACCCAGCGCGGUCGAGCUAGGUUCUACCAGGUCGUGUCGGGUAUGUUGCAUGCAAAAUCCAUCAAGCUGCUAGCUUGCUCGAUUGUUAGCUUUGCUGCACGUACAACAGAACUCCUGUUGUACCUCCAGAUUUGCUUCAUCCUGUUUGUUAAGCUUUCUCUUCUUGCUGCAACUCGUGUUUUCGAGCUCGUGGGAGAUAGAGCCAAAACGCUCGGAUGUUCAUAGCGAUGGUGCAUACAGUAAUCCAUAAAUUUAUGAGAUUGCUGAAUUUUAAUUGCUUGCCAGCUUGUUGCUUCGAUGCCUGUAUAUGUUAUUCAUCUCUCACGAAGCUGUGUCUGUGCUGCAAAUGUACAGGAAAUAGUGAUACACUUUGUUGCAGACGGUUUGCAAAUCAGAUGUAGAGGUAGGUGCUGCCACAAACUGAAAAUGAAAUAAAAAAGAGAACAGGAAGAUAUUUUUCAUUCAGAUGAUUGCCUCGACUUGUGUUGAAGCGAAUGCUAUUAGAAGGGGAAUAACUAAUGACUAGGAAUAACCUGAGGAGAAAGAGAAUACCAAAACCCCUGUUAAAUCUGUGCAUCAACUAGCAAAUACUUUAUGUACAUGAAUAAAAAGAAACAGAAGACCGAUGCCUGGGCUCUUUAAGACAACGGAAUGAAUAAACAGGGUAUGAGCAGUAUAUGCAGUUCUACAGCUCAUGCGUGUGAAUAUGUUCGAAAUCUGGAAAGCUGAGGCAUUUGAAGUGUCAUUAACACUAAAUGCCUGUUCAUGCAGUCCUGCUUUUGUUGUUGAUCCAACAAGAAUGAACUUAUCAAUGAUGGAUGUUCUAGCGAUUCGCGAAUCGGAGAAGGCGCCCACACCACCCCUGUUGCUGGACAAGUACCGGAGGGUGGCCCUUGAGGCCGGUUCAACAACCUCUGCAGCAGCGACGACAACAAGUAGAAUAGGGUAAGUUAGGUUUAAGCUCAAAUUUCAUUUGACUAUAUGCAAAACAGAAGAAAUUAAGUUGUUUGAAAUAAUUGUUUAAAUUCUGCUUACUCGGUGUAACUGUUACGGUUCACUUGAUUUUUGAAAAAUCGAUGUGGAAAAAAUGCAAACUCUAGAAGGAAAAAAAGACGAUAAAAAUAAAAAUAAAAUAGAAGAAAUUAAAAGGUAAAAAGAGGCCCAUGCAGGUCACAAGGAAGCUGCUGAAACAUCCUGAUCAAGCCCAAAGGCGAAAGGGACAGACCUUCUACUCGCCGAUGGCUAAGCGAAGGAGCUUGACGGCAUAGAUGCAUACAACUAUUUAAGUCGCUCGUUACGGAUCUCGCUCAGCAGGGUGGGACUAAACUCCCAUCCUGUGCGACAAAGCUGAGGCGUGCCGUACGCUUGGAUCGGUCCAAUAGCCUUCAAGGAGUAUAUCGCACCUUGGCGGUUGUUUGGCACGAGCAUGAGCACGGCGUUCCAUCCUCAGACAGACGGCCAAUCCGAGGUGGUCAACAAGGUGAUCGCCAUGUACAUGCGCUGUGUUACUGGUGAUCGUCCACGAGCUUGGGUGGACUGGUUGGCGUGGGCGGAGUACUGCUACAACACCUCCUAUCACUCCGCCCUGCGCACCACGCCUUUCGAGGUGGUCUACGGGCGCCCACCUCCGGCGAUGCUCCCUUACGAGCCUGGGACGGCUCGGUCCGAGACGGCGGGCGACUUACUCCGCACCCGCGACGACAUUCUGGCUGAGGCACGCCAGCGUCUUCUCCAAGCACAGCAGCUGGCUCGGAAGUACUACGAUGCUCAUCAUCGCGAGGCGGAGUUCGCGGUGGGCGAUUGGGUGUGGCUGCGCCUCCUCCACGGGACCACGCAGUAUCUGGACCCGCGCUCCAAGCGCAAAUUGGGACCUCGCUAUGCCGGUCCCUUUCGUGUGCUGGAGCGUGUCGGCACACUCGCAUACCGCUUGGAGCUGCCAGCUGGUUCUCGCCUCCACGACGUCUUCCAUGUCGUCUUACUGAAGGCCUACCGCGGGGACCCUCCUGCAGCGACACCGGCCCUUCCUCCUACUUCGGAUGACCGCCUCCUUCCAGCUUUCGCACAGGUGGCGAAGGUGCUACAGGCGCAGCAGCGUCGCGGCGUCUGGAAUGUCUUGGUACAAUGGACCGGCCUGCCAGAGGAGGAAGCGACUUGGGAGAAGCUCGACGAUUUCCGCCAGCAGUUUCCAGAUGUUCAGCUCGAGGACGAGCUGUUUGAAGGCGGGGAGAGAUGUUAUGACCGGUACAACGUACCAACGGAGGAGGCCCAAUGGGCAGGGUUAAUUACGGGCUUAGCCCAAGUUAUCUUACCUAUCUUAGAAGUCCAAGUUAUAUUAGAGUCCAAGUUAUAUUAGAGUCCAAGUUAGAGUCCAAGUUAUCUAGGGUUUAGUGGAGGAUGUCCUCCUUUAUAAACACAUGUACCCCUUCGAUAUUAAUCAGACAAUAAACAGUAUAUUCUGUUGUCGUCUCCCUCAGGAGACGAGAGCCCCAAACCCUAGCCGCCUCUCUCUCUCUCUCACACGCCGCGACGGCGCCCAACCGCCGGCGCCGGCGUCCCCAACCUCGCAGCCCGCACUUCCACCCCUACAACCUACGUCCGAGACCUGGUAGAACCCUAGCCUCUACCAAUUCUCCUUUUUUUCCUUGCAACCUCCACCAUACUCCACACCAUAUAUAGUGCUAUAACCAUGGCUCACGCUCAUGUAUUGCGUGAGACUUGAAAAUGUUUGAGAAAGUAAAGGUGUGAAACAAUUACUUGGCCAAUACCGGGGUUGUGCAUGAUUUAAAUUCAUUGUGCAAUGAUGAUAGAGCAUAGCCAGACUAUAUGCUUUUGUAGGGAUAAUUUUCUUUUGGCCUUGUUAUUUUGAAAGUUCAUGAUUACUUUGCUAGUUUGCUUGAAUUAUUAUUGUUUCCACGUCAAUAGCAAACUAUUGUUUUGAAUCUAAUGGAUCUGAACAUUCACGUCACAUAAGAGGAAUUACAAAGGACACCUAUGUUAGGUAGCAUGAAAGCAUCAAAAAUUCAUUCUUAUCACUUCCCUACUCGAGGACGAGCAUGAGUUAAGCUUGGGGAUGUUUGAUACGUCUCAAACGUAUCUAUAAUUUUUUAUGGUUUCACGAUGUUAUCUUGUCUUCUUUGUAUGUUUUAUGUACAUUUUUAUAUCUUUUUGGGACUAACUUAUUAAUUCAGUGCCAAGUGCGAGUUCCUGUUUUUUCCGUGUUUUUGACUCUUUUCAAAUCUGAUUUUGGAACGGAGUCCAAACGGAAUAAAAACUCCGAAAUGAUUUUUUCCCGAAUGGAAGAAGUCCAGGGAGACUUUGGGCCAGGCCAGGUGGACCCCAGGGAGCCCACAAGGGCCCACUCCGCCACCAGGGGGAGGCGGCGGUGGGCAAGCUUGUGGCUUCCCUGGCCGCCUCCUGACCUUGGUUUUGCGCCUAUAUAUUCCCAAAUAUUCCGCAAAAAAUCAGGGGAGCCUCGAAAAUACUUUUCCACCGCCGGAAGCUUCCGUUUCCGCGAGAUCUCAUCUGGAGACCGUUCCCGGUGUCCUGUCGGAGGGGACUUUGGAGGUGGAGGGCUUCUUCAUCAUCAUCAUCGCCCUCCAAUGACUCGUGAGUAGUUCACUUCAGACCUACGGGUCUGUAGUUAGUAGCUAGAUGGCUUCUUCUCUCUCUUGGAUCUUCAAUACAAACUUCUCCAUGAUCUUCAUGGAGAUCUAUCCGAUGUAAUCUUCUUUGGCGGUGUGUUUGUCGAGAUCCCAUGAAUUGUGGACUUGUGAUCAGAUUAUCUAUGAUAUAUAUUUGAGUCUUUGCUGAUUUCUUAUAUGCAUGAUUUGAUAUCCUUGUAAGUCUCUCCGAGUCUUGGGUUUUGUUUGGCCAACUAGAUCUAUGAUUCUUGCAAUGGGAGAAGUGCUUGGUUUUNNNNNNNNNNUUCAGCCAUGUGGUGGCCUUUCCCAGUGACAGUAGGGGCAGCAAGGCACACAUCAAGCGGUUGCCAUCAAGGGUAAAAAGCUGGGGUUUUUAUCAUUGAUUUGAGAUUAUCCCUCUACAUCAUGUCAUCUUGCUUAAAGCGUUACUCUGUUCUUAUGGACUUAAUACACUAGAUGCAUGCUGGAUAGCGGUCGAUGUGUGGAGUAAUAGUAGUAGAUGCAGAAAGUAUCGGUCUACUUGUUUCGGACGUGAUGCCUAUAGAAAUAAUCAUGGCAUAGAUAUCGUCACGACUCUGCACAGUUCUAUCAAUUGCCCGGCAGUAAUUUGUUCACCCACCGUCUACUUGCUUUCAUGAGAGAAGCCACUAGUAAACACUACGACCCCCGGGUCUAUUCACAUCCAUCGUUUACAACUCCUCUUUUACUUUGCUUCGUUACUUUGUUACUUUCAGUUCUCACUUGGCAAACAAUCUAUAAGGGAUUGACAACCCCUUCAUAGCGUUGGGUGCAAGCUUUUGUGUUUGUGCAGGUUGAUGAGAUACUCUUCCGCCGGAUUGAUACCUUGGUUCUCAAACUAAGGGAAAUACUCACCGUCGCUGUCCUACAUCAUCCUUUCCGCUUAUACCAACGUGUCGUAGUAGGAGUAUUUCUGGCACAAUUGCCACGGGUACACAGCAAACAUCAGACACCUCGUCCCGGACAAGCACAGCCGACCGCGGAGGCGGCCCAGGACGCCGGCGGUGGCCAGCUCGGCGGAGCCGUUUGAGGGGGCCGAUCAGACCGACGCCGGGCCGAAGGGGGCACCACCUUGAAUGGACGGAAGCUGGAGCGGUGCGACAUACCGGCCGGGAGGGGGAGGCCCGGCGACAGUGAGCGGCAUAAGGAGGGCAUCCAGCCGCCGAGGAUGCCACACACGGAGUCGCGAGCACUGGUAUGUGGACCCAAGGCCUGCCGGCCGGGCCGCAGUCCGCCCACCCCAGGACGCCCCAACCCUGGAGCUGGCGACGGCGACAUGAUCGUGGCAAACCCGUGGCCUUGGAAUCCCCAGACCCCUCGCGGCGGGCAUGAGCGGCCGACUGCGCCGGCCGUGGGGCACUCCCACCCCUCGGAGCACCGCCACGGCCAACAUCGGCUUUAGCAGCGAGAGGGGCCCUGGGAUUAGCCGCCGGAGACCGUGGUGGCGCCCCCACAAUGUCUCCCGCCUCAUCGGCCUCCUCCGCCAGAUCCGCCCAACGCGAGGGCAACGGCGAGGUGGGGGUUACCGAGGAGGGUGGGGGAGCACCAUCCGCGUCUGUGGCGCCGGCGGAGACCGCGGCCAGGGCGGCGGGGGGAGUGGCCAGGGCGGCGGGGNNNNNNNNNNNNNNNNNNNNNNNNNNNNNNNNNNNNNNNNNNNNNNNNNNNNNNNNNNNNNNNNNNNNNNNNNNNNNNNNNNNNNNNNNNNNNNNNNNNNGGUGGGUAAACGAUAACUAUAGGUAACCAAUAAUUAUAACAAACCAUUUUUCACAAUUUCUUCCAAAUGGGAAGAUAAAAUUACCAAAAAUAUAUAAAAACGAAUAUUACAUACAAACAAAUUUGCCAAAUGACGGGCUUAAACUCUGCCCACUAGUGCUUAUCUACUACCCCUAUAAAAACACGAAUUGGGCAUAUCCAAAGCAUAUCAACCAUCUAAUCACUACAUCUAAUGGCCAAAAGUCUUUCAAUGUUUAACACCAACCACGGUUCCUCCGAAGUAUUGAUGAUCUGCUAACGCAAUGUGAUCACCAUUAUUUGUGUGCAUGCCUCUGUUAUCCACUAGUGGCCCGGGGGUGGAUCAGCGAGGACGUUCUCCUCCUCCUUUCCCCGCACCACCUCCUGUGACAUUAUUGAGCUACGCACAACCUCCUCCAGCCUGGUCUGGCUGCGUAGGGCUAUGUCCUGUUUUGGAACUCAGAUUCAACCUUCCCUAACGUUUGUGCACACGCCACCUAUGUCCAGUCCUGCUACCUCCUUGCCACCUGACUUGGGGCCAAGNNNNNNNNNNCUGGGAGAGGAACCCCACAUUUCUAUCCACGUGCCACACCUGUUGGCCUCGCCGCUGGUCAGUUUCAGGGACGAUUCGGGGGCAGCCUCACUGGUUGCGGGUGUGGUUGCCACUCCCUUGUUCGUGCAGGCAGCACCCCCAUCCUUGCUGACCCAGCCUCCACUCCACGAAGGCGUCCUACUGCUAGGAGGAAGACACUGCCGGCGAGGGUCACCGGCUUUAACAUCAACCCGCGCAGCCCUCGGUUGCAAGCCAAAAAUCGGGACAUGCCCAUGGCUCAGCUCGCUGAGCAGCUGCUCUGCCAAAGAAUGGGGAUUGUGGGUGAUGGGGAAAUGGUCAUUCAAGAAGCUCUGAGCGACUGAGCCGCUAAGUUGCCAUGUUCCAAGUCCAGCUGUCAGGUUCUGAUGUUGCUGCCCUCCGAGCUCUCUUCAGGAUGGACUGCGAUCUUGCGGCGGCUCUGGAGGAAGCGUUGCUGAUGCACGAUGGUGAUGCAAGGCGGGAAUUGGUCGGCCAACCGGCUUGCGGGGCUGCGGACGCGGUCUGAUGAACCUUAGCCGCCCCGAAGUAUUNNNNNNNNNNUCCUGCUGCUGAACUGGGAGAGGAACCCCGCACUCCUGUCCACGUGCCACACCUGGUGGCCUNNNNNNNNNNNNNNNNNNNNNNNNNNNNNNNNNNNNNNNNNNNNNNNNNNNNNNNNNNNNNNNNNNNNNNNNNNNNNNNNNNNNNNNNNNNNNNNNNNNNNNNNNNNNNNNNNNNNNNNNNNNNNNNNNNNNNNNNNNNNNNNNNNNNNNNNNNNNNNNNNNNNNNNNNNNNNNNNNNNNNNNNNNNNNNNNNNNNNNNNNNNNNNNNNNNNNNNNNNNNNNNNNNNNNNNCAAGGGUCACCGGCUUUAACAUCAACCCGCGCAGCCCUCGGUUGCGAGCCAAAAAUCGGGACAUGCCCAUGGCUCAGCUGGCUGAGCAGCUGCUCUGCCAAAGAAUGGGGAUUGUGGGUGAUGGGGANNNNNNNNNNGGCGGUGGCUCUGGAGGAAGCGUUGCUGCUGCACGAUGUUGAUGCAGGGCCGGAAUUGGUCGGCCAACCNNNNNNNNNNAAGCGACUGAGCCGCUAGGUUGCCAUGUUCCAAGGCCAGCUGCCGGGUUCUGAUGUUUCUGCCCUCCGAGCUCUCUUCAGGAUGGACUGCGAUCUGGCGGUGGAUGUGGAGGAAGAGUUGCUGCUGCACGAUGUUGAUGCAGGGCCGGAAUUGGUCGGCCAACCGGCUGGCGGGGCUGCGGACGCGGUCUGAUGAACCUUAGCCGCCCCGAAGUAUUGUAGUUCUCAUGUUAUGCAUCCACCAUUGUAUGUUGCUAUGCCUGUUUGUGGUUGUGUUGCUUAGCUGCUUCUUGUUGCCCCGGUGAGGCGAGUUAAACUUGUCAUGUUACUUGGUUGCUGCCAUAUCGAUGUUGCGAGAAGUUACCCAUGAAUAGGCACAACCUCAGUAUUCUGAACUGGAAUGUUCGAGGGCUGAACCGUCCAAAUAGAAGAGCCACUAUCAAUGAUACUGUCGCAGCUUCGGCUUGCCACUUAGCGUGCUUCCAGGAGACAAAGCUGGAACUGGUGGACCCCAUGGUCGCAUCCUUCUUGGGCGACUACAGGCUAAAUGGCUUCGCGCAAAGACCUGUUAUUUGUUGGAAAUAUGCCCUAGAGGCAAUAAUAAAUUAGUUAUUAUUAUAUUUCUUAGUUCAUGAUAAUCGUUUAUUAUCCAUGCUAUAAUUGUAUUGAUUGGAAACACAAUACUUGUGUGGAUACAUAGACAAAACACUGUCCCUAGUAAGCCUCUAGUUGACUAGCUCGUUGAUCAAAGAUGGUCAAGGUUUCCUGGCAUGGGCAAGUGUUGUCACUUGAUAACGGGAUCACAUCAUUAGGAGAAUCAUGUGAUGGACUAGACCCAAACUAUUAGACGUAGCAUGUUGACCGUGUCAUUUUGUUGCUACUGUUUUCUGCGUGUCAAGUAUUUAUUCCUAUGACCAUGAGAUCAUAUAACUCACUGACACCGGAGGAAUGCUUUGUGUGUAUCAAACGUCGCAACGUAACUGGGUGACUAUAAAGAUGCUCUACAAGUACCUCCGAAGGUGUUAGUUGAGUUAGUAUGGAUCAAGACUGGGAUUUGUCACUCCGUGUGACGGAGAGGUAUCUCGGGGCCCACUCGGUAAUACAACAUCACACACAAGCCUUGCAAGCAAUGUGACUUAGUGUAAGUUGCGGGAUCUUGUAUUACGGAACGAGUAAAGAGACUUGCCGGUAAACGAGAUUGAAAUAGUUAUGCGGAUACUGACGAUCGAAUCUCGGGCAAGUAACAUACCGAAGGANNNNNNNNNNNNNNNNNNNNNNNNNNNNNNNNNNNNNNNNNNNNNNNNNNNNNNNNNNNNNNNNNNNNNNNNNNNNNNNNNNNNNNNNNNNNNNNNNNNNCAGAGCAGCUGCUCAGCGAGCUGAGCCAUGGGCAUGUCCCGAUUUUUGGCUUGCAACCGAGGGCUGCGCGGGUUGAUGUUAAAGCCGGUGACCCUCGCCGGCAGUGUCUUCCUCCUAGCAGUAGGACGCCUUCGUGGAGUGGAGGCUGGGUCAGCAAGGAUGGGGGUGUUGCCUGCACGAACAAGGNGCGGGGUUCCUCUCCCAUUUCAGCAGCAGGGCUUGGCCCCAAGUCAGGUGGCAAGGAGGUAGCAGGACUGGACAUAGGUGGCGUGUGCACAAACGUUAGGGAAGGCUGAAUCUGAGUUCCAAAACAGGACAUAGCCCUGCGCAGCCAGACCAGGCUGGAGGAGGUUGUGCGUAGCUCAAUAAUGUCACAGGAGGUGGUGCGGGGAAAGGAGGAGGAGAACGUCCUCGCUGAUCCACCCCCGGGCCACUAGUGGAUAACAGAGGCAUGCACACAAAUAAUGGUGAUCACAUUGCGUUAGCAGAUCAUCAAUACUUCGGAGGAACCGUGGUUGGUGUUAAACAUUGAAAGACUUUUGGCCAUUAGAUGUAGUGAUUAGAUGGUUGAUAUGCUUUGGAUAUGCCCCACUCGUAUUUUUAUAGGGGUAGUAGAUAAGCACUAGUGGGCAGAGUUUAAGCCCGUCAUUUGGCAAAUUUGUUUGUAUGUAAUAUUCGUUUUUAUAUAUUUUUGGUAAUUUUAUCUUCCCAUUUGGAAGAAAUUGUGAAAAAUGGUUUGUUAUAAUUAUUGGUUACCUAUAGUUAUCGUUUACCCACCAUUAUUUUUUGUAGAAAAGUGAGGUAAUAUUAGGUGUCGUGCACGGGAGAGCCUUGGCCAUAAGUCAGAGAAAUGUUUUUUUGUAAUUUUUCACCUUUUAAUUAUUUUUAAAAGGGGGUUUAGAUAAAGAUAAUUUUGAAAAAGGGUGGGGUAAAAAAGGGGGGAAAUGCAGGGCAUUAUUUUGUUUUAAAACUCAAGGAAAAGGUUAAAAAAACAAGAAAGCACUGUUCAACGAAGGGUACUGUUCAUGUUUUAAAAUGGGGGAAAUAUUUUUUUUGUAAAUUUUAACUAUUUAAUUUUAAUUUCAGAAAAGGGGCGAAAUACAGGGAACUAUUUCGUUUUAAAAUUCAGGGAGAAGGGACAAAAAAAAUAUCAAGAAAGAACUGUUCAUAUGGGUUACUAUUCAUCGAACGUUACUGCUUACAUGAAUUGUUGUUCAUACAGGGUUAUUUCGUUUUGAAUAAGGUUUACCCGUCGCCUCUCGUUGAUCCGAAGAUGGACGAAACGGGUGUUUGCAUCCCCCUCUUUGAUAUUUGUUAUUCGUGAGUUCUUUUUAGCCCUUUCCAUCACAGCCAGGGCGACCACUCUUUUCUUCAACUUUUUACGACCGUGGUUAGGUUGGAUGAGGCACUCGAACUGAUAAGGGUGAUCUUCGCCGAGAGGGAGUAUGUUCCAAAGUGCAUGUUUUUUCCAGCUUGAGAUGAUCUUCAUCUCAAAGAAGGAGGAUUCCGCCACGCAUGCCAAUAAUGUUGGGGAACGUCGCAUGGGAAACAAAAAAAAUCCUACGCGCACGAAGACCUAUCAUGGUGAUGUCCAUCUACGAGAGGGGAUGAGUGAUCUAAGUACCCUUGUAGAUCGUACAGCAGAAGCGUUAGUGAACACGGUUGAUGUAGUGGAACGUCCUCACGUCCCUCGAUCCGCCCCGCGAACAAUCCCGCGAUCAGUCCCACGAUCUAGUACCGAACGGACGGCACCUCCGCGUUCAGCACACGUACAUCUUGACGAUGAUCUCGGCCUUCUUGAUACAGCAAGAGAGACGGAGAGGUAGAAGAGUUCUCCGGCAGCAUGACGGCGCUCCGGAGGUUGGUGAUGACCUUGUCUCAGCAGGGCUCCGCCCGAGCUCCGCAGAAACACGAUCUAGAGGAAAAACCGUGGAGGUAUGUGGUCGGGCUGCCGUGGAAAAGUCGUCUCAAAUCAGCCCCAAUACCUCCGUAUAUAUAGGUGGGAGGGAGGGGACCUUGCCUUGGGGCUCAAGGAGCCCCAAGGGGGUCGGCCGAGUCCAAGGGGGGAAGGCUCCCCCCCCAAACCGAAUUGGACUUGGUUUGGUGGGUGGGAGUCCUUCCCUUCCUUCCCACCUCCCUUUUUUUUCUUUCUCUUUGAUUUUCCUUUGUAUGGCGCAUAGGGCCCUUUUGGGCUGUCCCACCAGCCCACUAAGGGCUGGUGCGCCAUCCUCAUGGCCUAUGGGCUUCCCCGGGGUGGGUUGCCCCCCCCGGUGAACUCCCGGAACCCAUUCGUCAUUCCCGGUACAUUCCCGGUAACUCCGAAAACCUUCCGGUAAUCAAAUGAGGUCAUCCUAUAUAUCAAUUUUUGUUUCCGGACCAUUUCGGAAACCCUCGUGACGUCCGUGAUCUCAUCCGGGACUCCGAACAACAUUCGGUAACCAACCAUAUAACUCAAAUACGCAUAAAACAACGUCGAACCUUAAGUGUGCAGACCCUGCGGGUUCGAGAACUAUGUAGACAUGACCCGAGAGACUCCUCGGUCAAUAUCCAAUAGCGGGACCUGGAUGCCCAUAUUGGAUCCUACAUAUUCUACGAAGAUCUUAUCGUUUGAACCUCAGUGCCAAGGAUUCAUAUAAUCCCGUAUGUCAUUCCCUUUGUCCUUCGGUAUGUUACUUGCCCGAGAUUCGAUCGUCAGUAUCCGCAUAACUAUUUCAAUCUCGUUUACCGGCAAGUCUCUUUACUCGUUCCGUAAUACAAGAUCCCGCAACUUACACUAAGUCACAUUGCUUGCAAGGCUUGUGUGUGAUGUUGUAUUACCGAGUGGGCCCCGAGAUACCUCUCCGUCACACGGAGUGACAAAUCCCAGUCUUGAUCCAUACUAACUCAACUAACACCUUCGGAGGUACUUGUAGAGCAUCUUUAUAGUCACCCAGUUACGUUGCGACGUUUGAUACACACAAAGCAUUCCUCCGGUGUCAGUGAGUUAUAUGAUCUCAUGGUCAUAGGAAUAAAUACUUGACACGCAGAAAACAGUAGCAACAAAAUGACACGGUCAACAUGCUACGUCUAAUAGUUUGGGUCUAGUCCAUCACAUGAUUCUCCUAAUGAUGUGAUCCCGUUAUCAAGUGACAACACUUGCCCAUGCCAGGAAACCUUGACCAUCUUUGAUCAACGAGCUAGUCAACUAGAGGCUUACUAGGGACAGUGUUUUGUCUAUGUAUCCACACAAGUAUUGUGUUUCCAAUCAAUACAAUUAUAGCAUGGAUAAUAAACGAUUAUCAUGAACUAAGAAAUAUAAUAAUAACUAAUUUAUUAUUGCCUCUAGGGCAUAUUUCCAACAAAUAACAGGUCUUUGCGCGAAGCCAUUUAGCCUGUAGUCGCCCAAGAAGGAUGUGACCAUGGGGUCCACCAGUUCCAGCUUUGUCUCCUGGAAGCACGCUAAGUGGCAAGCCGAAGCUGCGACAGUAUCAUUGAUAGUGGCUCUUCUAUUUGGACGGUUCAGCCCUCGAACAUUCCAGUUCAGAAUAUUGAGGUUGUGCCUAUUCAUGGGUAACUUCUCACAACAUCGAUAUGGCAGCAACCAAGCAACAUGACAAGUUUAACUCGCCUCACCGGGGCAACAGGACGCAGCUGAGCAGCACAGCCACAAACAGGCAUAGCAACAUACAAUGGUGGAUGCAUAACAUGAGAACUACAAUACUUCGGGCGGCUAAGGUUCAUCAGACCGCGUCCUCAGCCCCGCCAGCCGGUUGGCCGACCAAUUCCGGCCCUGCAUCAACAUCGUGCAGCAGCAACUCUUCCUCCACAUCCACCGCCAGAUCGCAGUCCAUCCUGAAGAGAGCUCGGAGGGCAGAAACAUCAGAACCCGGCAGCUGGCCUUGGAACAUGGCAACCUAGCGGCUCAGUCGCUUAGAGCUUCUUGAAUGACCAUUUCCCCAUCACCCACAAUCCCCAUUCUUUGGCAGAGCAGCUGCUCAGCCAGCUGAGCCAUGGGCAUGUCCCGAUUUUUGGCUCGCAACCGAGGGCUGCGCGGGUUGAUGUUAAAGCCGGUGACCCUUGCCGCCAGUGUCUUCCUCNNNNNNNNNNNNNNNNNNNNNNNNNNNNNNNNNNNNNNNNNNNNNNNNNNNNNNNNNNNNNNNNNNNNNNNNNNNNNNNNNNNNNNNNNNNNNNNNNNNNNNNNNNNNNNNNNNNNNNNNNNNNNNNNNNNNNNNNNNNNNNNNNNNNNNNNNNNNNNNNNNNNNNNNNNNNNNNNNNNNNNNNNNNNNNNNNNNNNNNNNNNNNNNNNNNNGACCAGCGGCGAGGCCAACAGGUGUGGCACGUGGAUAGAAAUGUGGGGUUCCUCUCCCAGUUCAGCAGCAGGGCUUGGCCCCAAGUCAGGUGGCAAGGAGGUAGCAGGACUGGACAUAGGUGGCGUGUGCACAAACGUUAGGGAAGGCUGAAUCUGAGUUCCAAAACAGGACAUAGCCCUGCGCAGCCAGACCAGGCUGGAGGAGGUUGUGCGUAGCUCAAUAAUGUCACAGGAGGUGGUGCGGGGAANNNNNNNNNNNNNNNNNNNNNNNNNNNNNNNNNNNNNNNNNNNNNNNNNNNNNNNNNNNNNNNNNNNNNNNNNNNNNNNNNNNNNNNNNNNNNNNNNNNNCCCCCCGCCCCCAAAAAAAAACUCACUCCCUUCCUAAUCCUCGAUUGUCCUCCCUGCCACCCACCGCAGAUGUCAACUGCUGCCUCGUCCUCAGCUACCAACAAAAUCCUCCCGCUGAUUUCUUGCCGGGACAAGGUCAUCAACUUCGUCUCUAGCACCCGGAUCUACAAGUGCAUCAAGAAAGAUCCCUUGCCACAAAUCUAUAUGUAAUAACUCGACUAUAGCCUAAAUCUAAUUCCUGCUAGCCUUAUCAGUACAUGCACUCCGUAAGGCUACGUUGCCGAGCUCGAAUACCAUCCCGUCGCCCAGCAAGACCAAGCUCAGCAGCCUCCGGUAGGUGCACAUCAAGCUGCACCUUCGAACUGCUUCGCGUCUCCAAUCUCCUGGUUCGCAAUGGAAAAGUUGAGGAACUC